rnacentral:lncRNA from 1 species
CUCUUUCCACUUAACCAACUCAAACAAGUUUUUCUUCUGUAAAAUUUUACAUAGAUCCAGAUUAGUAAAUGAAGCUUGUUUCUUUCGCCGUUUGACUUUCAUUGCUUCGUUUGAUUUGUUUCUUUUUGCAAACCGAAGUUUUUAAGUUGAACUUUCUGGUUAGUUUGCUUAUUUGAGUUUUACCUCUACAUUAGAUGAGUGCUUAUUGUAUGCUUGUUUGUUUGUGAUAGAGUACCCGGAGUGCGCCGCUUGCUACUUCGAAUCUCUAGGUUUCACGGAUCAUCAGCAAGGCAAGUAACACUUUGAUCAUACCUCUUACUACCCAGUUUUGUUGCAUUAGAUCAAUCCCCAAACACUGCAUGAUUAGGAUCUAAUUAAAUUGUGGGUUUUGGGAAGUAGAUGAGGUAGUACCUAUUACCUGUUUUAUUAUCAAACCCUUGGGAGUUAUUUCUACGUUUGCUUAUAUUGCCAUGCUAUGCUAGUAGACGUGGAUUGGGUGAGUGUAUCCAUGACAGAUGUGAGAUUGUUAAUUAAUGGUUUAUUUAAGGUGGCAACUUUAACACACAUCUGGGUGGAUUGAGGCACCUGGGUAUUCCAGAGAUUGCCUGUUUUUCUUUAUGGACCGCCACCCAGGCUCAAAGGGAUCAUGAGAUUAUUCAUACUAGAAACUUCCGUGUGCAGCCACAAGCUACUAUGGGCUCUAGCAUAGUUGAUUAAGUUGUGCGAACUCUUACAGUGGUAGACUAGCAGAUGUAGGGGAAAGUAGGUGUAACGGUCUACCCGAUCGUAAGGUGCUAGCGCUUCUGAAAGACUAUGUCUCGGUCAUCCGUUUCUCAAACACCACGUAGUGCGAGAAAUCCAAACGGAGGAGAUCGAGUCUUGUGGGGAAAAGUGCGCAAACCUCUGCAGAGUGUAUAAUCUAAUGAUGAUUAGCCAUGUCCCCGGUUAUGGACAGUCUUGAGUAUCUAGUACUUGGAUUAUCAUGUGAAUCUCAUCAUGUUACUUUAAUUAAUUUUAUUGGGUUUUAAUGAUGAUGCUUAAUUGGGAUUGAGAGGGUGUCUACACUCUCAAUGUUUAACAACCACCAUGAUAGUUAAAUAAAAUUUAUUCCUUUGCAGUAAGGAAAAACUGGCUUUAUGCAAAACUGUAACCAUAGAGCUUUUCACCAGCCAUAUAUGCAUGUAGUAUAGCCUAUUUCUGUUCAUUACUCUCUAUGUGUUAUAUUGCCAGCAUAUUCCAUGUGCUAACCCGUUUUCGGGCUGCAACGUUCAUGUUGUAGACUUUUCAAACAACGAGUAAGGUGCCAUUAGGUCGUGGUUCUAUACUCAGUGAUGUCAUUGGAGUUGAUGGACUCGCUUAUUUUCCACGCCUUCCGCUAUUAUCGUUAUUAGAUGGCCUUAAGCCAUAUUAUUUGUAGUAAGUUCUCUUUUGAGACACUCAAUGUAAUAAGUGUGUGAUUGCUACUCUGUUAUAAAUCCUUCAAGUACUGUGCGUGUCAGCAUUACUGAUCCAGGGAUGACACUGAUGCACAGAGAUUAGACUGUUUGAGGUCUGGUCGCUACAUAGUGUGAGAAGCAAGUGGGCAGCCCUUAGCAAGAAAGCGCUCAAGCUCCAGCCUAUAUAUCUUUUUUAUACUACUAGUACUGGAGGUGGAGUAGUGGUAGAGUAGUUUAUAUUUUCUCUACGUACAGUACCAGUUAGUCGUGCUACAAAACUGAUCGGCACGCCAUUAAAAAAAUAAAGGUCGAUAACUAAUGCGGCACCUCGGGCCAACGCGGCCAGAUCGCAUUUUGCACGAGAAAUUACACACCAUGAUUCGUUGACAUGUGGUCCCGUUCCAACAUAUCAGUGAGACGACGGCGAGUAGUAGGAGUAUUUCCGAAUGGACGUGUAGGCCGGGGCGCCUCUUCGUGAACCGUGGCAAACUCGCAACCGUCCACCGACUCUUCGCCUUUCCGUCUCGAUUUGGAACUGUUGUUGCAUGCUCUUCCUCUCCCUCCUCCAUUUUCCUUCAGCCCUUCACCCUUUCUUCUGCCAUUGUUUGAUCGUCUUCUCCAUGGAGGGAACAUGCCGGAAACGACCCCAUUAUUCUUGCCCCGAUCUGAAAUAUGACGUGGUGGAGAAACUCAUUGAUCGAUGCGACAUCAUCACCUCGGCUAGCAUGUCAGGUUCGUUCAAGCCCAUUCUCGACUCAACUAAUAACAUCAUUACAAAGAACCCAAGAGUCAAGGAGCGGUUUGAUCUCCCCUAUCUUCUUCGUCAUGACCCUGAUGACUGGCGCCGGCACGACGGAGGCCUCGCCCUGUGCUAGUUGAUGUCGCUUGAUAAUGAUACGUAUGAUGUUAAGAUGCCAUCGCUUGAGGGCAAGGCUUGGGCGGGCGCAAAUCGAGAUUCGGUUGUUUACAUUGGGUCCAACUGCGAGUGGGAACUUGUGAAUGUGUACACUCGUGACCGGGUUCCACUUCCAAAAAUCUCAGCAGACUGCCCAGAGGUUGAGCACACCGGUAUUGUACGCACGUUCAAAUACGAUCAUGGUGACUGUCUUCUACGGAAGAUAGCAAUUUGUCGAGUUCCCAACCGCUCUUGGAAUUACAACAACUAUCAAGUUGUUGCUAUCUUCGACAAGCUUGUUGCCGUCCUUCGUGGUUCGACUUGAUGGAUAUUGCUCAAAAAUCCGUUUCUGUACACAGAUGAGUAUUGUGAUGCAAUUCAAUACGAGGGCCUUGUGUUUGCUGCCACCACUUGUGGCACUGUUUUUGCAUGGGAUCCUCAUAGUUUCGGUACGUUUGUCUUCCACCGUUAUUAUAAUUGUUUCAUCCACAUGCAUGCGGGUUAGCAAGUUUCCCUUUACUAAUUAACCUUCUUCUUGUGUUUCCAAGGUCCUGUGAACAUCCCACAACCUAUACUUGAAAAUUUUUAUAACCAAGGGGGAGAUGACGAUGGUGAUGAUCAUGAGCAUGAGGACGAGCAAAACCCGUAUACUCAGUGGCGCCUGGCAACUAAUUCCGAUGGAUCACAUCUUCUUGUGUGUAUACAGCCCACUGAUGAUGUUACUGCUAAGGAAGCAGGUGUAGUCUCCCAUGGUCGCACUCUCCGGACCUAUUCCAACACCCGUUGCAUGGUAUUCAGGAUGGAUACUAGUAUGCUAGCGCCAACUCCUUCUCCCUGGUACAGAAUUGAUAGUCUUGGAGAAAACUCGCUCUUCCUUGGACAAAACUAUCCGAUGAUGGUGAAAGGCGAUCCAACUGUUGUUGACACAACGUUAACAGUACCAUUUAUGAGAAGCAAUUGUGUCUAUACCUUGGACAUUUGGGUGGUUCCCUAUCCAGGUACUGAUAUAGUAGGCUGCUUCAGCCUGGAUGAUCAGUCCUGCGUUGGUUUCCAGAUCGACAAUCGAUGGCCCGUCCCAGAGAAUCACUUGUGGUUCAAAGCAAGCGUUUCCAACGCCGAGGAAUGGUUGAGUUGAAGUUCAUUUCAUUGCUUGUUAUUUGUUGUGUGGUGAAAACUUUAGUAUUUAUAAUGUAUCCUCGUAGUCGAUGUGGGUUGAUGACCUGAUGUAUGUAAUAAAAUGAUAUGCCUAUGAUAAACUUACUAAAUUUAUGCAUGGCUUUCGAGUCGCUUCUCUGAGUGAGUGGUGCGACGAGGCAAAAAAAUAUUUUCCGAAUACAUAAUUGUACGUGCAUUGCAAUAGGUUAUCGGAUGAGGCCAAUCAACAAUAGUAGUACACUAUUUGUACUAGCUUCACAUGCUUCGCGCGUUGGGCGGGUGUUUUUACUGUAGCCAUAUGUUAAUGUGUUCUUUGUAUGUAACCAGCACCUCGAAUCCUAGAUACUAGUACUAUAUAGUAGGAGUAAGUAGUAGGAGUAGUAGGGUGGCAUGAGCUAGAACAAGCAUUCACGUAUAGGAGUACGGUACAAGCCACCACCACGACAUCCAUCUGACACCAUAUUAUUUCUUGGAGUCAGUGCUAGAGCAAUCUCUUCAACCUCGUCGUUUCUCUAACUUCAGCCAUCGCGCGGCGGGCGAUCGAGGUGGGGGUUUGCCGAUAGUUGGUUUCCUUAACUGCGGUCCCACUUGUAAGGCCAACUCCAAUGCACGACCCCAAACGGACCUCCAUUUUGCAUGAACUCCAACGAUAAUUUUGACUAGAAAAGCAAGACCAAAGAAAACAAGAACCACAAGAAUACAUUUUACUACUCCUAUAAGUUGGAUUAGUGCCUUCUCGAUGCAUUCAUUGUUGAUCUGCAGAGGCUCGAUCUUGCGUGCUUCUUUCUUCUUCGAGUGUAAAGAAGUAGACGUUGCUUCCUCGCAUCUAGUCUCAUGUCUAGCCUCUAUUCUAGUAGGAGUAUCAACAAGUGCACUAAUCUCAUCUCUAGCCUCUGUGCUAGCUAAAAGUGAUAGAACAUCUACUAAAUUGCGCUCUAUCAAUAUAUGGAUGUACUCUUCUUCCCAAUACAAAAACUUGCAUCCAUUCUACUCCCUCCGUUGCACAAUACAUGCCUUCUAUUUGUCAAAAUAUAUAUGUAUCUAGACAUGUUUUAGUAUAUAGGUACAUCCAUUUUUGGACAAAUGGAAGUCAAGUAUUUUGGAACGGAGGGAGUACACAAUAAAAAUUUUAAGUUAGCACGACUAGUCUAAUCUGAGAGCACAACUGAAGAUUUGGUCAGGUUCUUCCUCCUUUUGCCGACACGUGGGACAUCCAGCAUCCAGUUCAUGUCAUGAAAGAAAAUAGAGUGGUAGUUGAAGCCACGAGGUGUGCAUCUUGGGUUAAACUGUAAAUAGAAUCUUACUACUCUUGAGUAACUCCAAAAGCGGCCACCGAAGAUCUUUAUUGGAUUUGUUUUUCAUCACCAGCACAUCGAGGCGAAAGAUGUGCAUGUUCAGUGGGUCCUCUUGCGUUUUCACUGACAUGUGGGGCUGCAUGUGAUCAAACACACGAUGGGCUCCGCGCGUCCGCUAGCUGGCUGAGAAGAGAGAUAGAGGAGGGCUGAGCACGGACUACAGGAAAUUUGUUCUACAUACCUUGAUAUAGGCUCGAUAUAGUGGGGUGGCAUGGGCAGCAUUCACGUCUAGCAGUAUGGCACACGCCACCCACACGAGUCCCAUCCGACACCAAUUUUCUUGGAGUCCAUGCUACAGCCAUCUCUUCUCCCUCCUGUUUUCUCAGCCAUCGCGCGGUGGGCGGGGUGGGGGUUUGCCGAUAGUCGGUUUGCUCAACUGCGAUCCCACUUGUAAGUGAAAAUGCAACACCGCAUGCAUUCCCGCUUGAGCGGCAUGCCGGACCAACCAUGUGGGUGUGCGACGCAAACAUGGCAGGCUUUUCCUUUUGAACUCGUAACUUGUAAAAUUUGGUUCUGCUCCAUGGCACGACCGAUAGAUAGAAAAUAAUGAUUUUGCCUAGAGUAAUGAGAAGUUUGGUUCUGGCGCCAUUCAUGCAUGGAGUACGUACGAAAAUUAUGAAGUUGAUGUGAAAGGUAAGAUAAUUACUCUAGUAUCAUAUACUACUACAUGGAUUUGACGGAAAGAUAAAAAUACAUACGGAUCCAUCAACGACAUCCUCACGCCCUAGUGUGUCGGGUCACCAACCGACGUGUGAGGAGCAGCGGUGUUGGCGGCGAGCUCAACGUGCUUCUGAACAGUGCCGUCCAAGGUUGCCCUGUGGUCCAAGAAGGCCAGCAUCCUAUCGUCCUCCUCUUGCAUGUAGUAGUCCUUGUGGACGAUUUGCGCGUAGACGUGGGUGAUUAUGUCAAUGGUGUCUUGCUGCGCUAGGCGCUGCGCGGCGAGCGCGACCUCGAGGUGGACAUUCUCCGGCGUGACGGCGGGCAGUCGCAGGGCCACCAGUGCGUCGAAGAGGUUGUCACCAUAGUGGCCGUUGAGGGUGGCGGGCAUCGCAAAGCCUGGGCGCAUCGGCUGGAGGCUUACGUCAAAGUCGUGUGCAAGCUUCUUGACGAUGGUGAACUUGUCGAGGAAACCGGUGAGGACCUCGUCGAACAAGGAGACGAAGCUGUCGUCCAAGCGGCCCCUCACCCUGGCGGCCUCAAGCAAUACUACCUGGAGACGUUCCUCGGUCCCAAGCCGCAGGCCGGCGUUGUGGACCAUCUGGCAUAGCCGGCUGAUGCUCGCGCUCAUCGCCUCCAUGGGUCUAGCUUAGCUUCUAGUCAACUGAUCUUGUGAUUUGAGUGAUCACUCUUGCCCUUGGUUAGCGUGCGUAGGUGCGUAGGAUUUCGUACUACUCCUCGGCCCUCUACUGCACCUGCCUUUGGCUGUAUGAUAGGUGGGCCAGCCACCCUCUGGGCCCACGUGUCAUUCACCCAAAGGCAGUUGUCGUAAGUCAAUGAAGAUGCGUCCCCCUCCGUGUCGGUGCAGUAUAGUCAUCUCACCGGACCUCUAGUUGGGGCCAAACGAGAGAAGUUUGAUGUUUACUGGUUUAUUGGUCCCCUUUGCAUUCUGCGCCAAGUUUUGACCUUUGAUUUAACUAAUAAAAUGUUAAUGCAUAUAAACAAAAAUGUUGUGUAAGUCACCUUACGAAAACCAAAUAAUCCCAAAAUACUUAGGCACGGUGCAUUAACUCCCUCCUUGUUUCUUAUUUCGUGACAUAUCAACCAAUGAGAGAUGUGGGCCGUGCAUGCUUUCAAUGACUUGAGACUGCCAAACAUGACAUGCAGUGUUUAGUUCAUUACAUGUAAUCCUAUUAGUACUCUAGUUAGCAAAAAAAACAUUAAGUUCUCUCGCUAAUAGGAACAAAACACCAUGUAUAUAUUUACAGAGGGAGUAGUACAUUUUUUGUGACAUGCAUUACUAGAUAUUGCUAGUCAAAUACUAAAAUCCAGAUGGACGUGGUAGUACUCCUAAAUCCAGGCGGUGGUGCUACUAGUACUAGUAGUAGUACUACCAAUGUAGUAGGAGGAGUACUAGCACUGUACUACUCGUUGGUCAAAUUAUUGCGUGUUGCUCCUCACAGUGAAGUGACAAGACCCUGCGCCGGAGAUGACACCUGAGUAUAGGCGCCGUGUUCGUCAUACCAUAGUCAUCCUCACCGUCUGCAGUCACUAUCAUCAUGGUUGUAGAGCUAGCCUGCUUACAACUAGCCCUGUUCAACAUAAUUUCCCGUGCGUAGAUGCCCGUGCAUUGCACGGAACACCAAGGGGUGGACGACUCCGGCAGCGGCCAUCGCGCCAGGUUUUUCCACGGCCUUCUAGAUGUGGUGGGGAGGAGAUAAGGCUGAUUGUGAGAGACAAGGAGUUGUUUGUAAAUAGGGAACAAGUGCAGGCAUCUUUUUGCAAAAAUGGAGAAGCUUGGUUUGUAUGCGUCAGAUCUAGAUCCGACGGCUAUUGGUGAAAGAUGGGAGGCACAACAUCAUCACCAACUCAGGACCUGUUUGAUUCACAGAAUUUUGAAAACGCAGGAAUAGGACACGGCAAUAUUACAAGUUUCAAACUGAUAUUACAAAUGUUAGGAGUAAUGCUGCACCUACGAAGAGGGAAUUACUAGGAAGUUUACGUAAGAACUUUCGUUACUUUAGGUGGAUGCAGCAUUAUCGUACAAACUAAAAUCCACCGCCCUGACAAGUCACUAAUGGGCAAAUAAGUUUUCGAGUCUCUGGCCACUUGAUGUUUCAAAAACAAAUUUAGCUUCUGCGGAGACUUUGUCAUUUAGGCUUAGACGCUUGUGGUGAUCAGCACGCCAUUCAUUGUUGCGCCAGAGAACGCCAAACCUCAUUACCUUGAGCACACUUGCCUCCAGAACAAAGAACCUGUCCAAUUUAAUCUUAGAUGUGCUGCCUCGGUAGUCGAUCAAAUCAAUUUUUGUAAGAUGGAGAUCAAGGCAUUCGAUGAGAUUGUUAUAGUGCAGCACAUUUUUCACUUUCGGGUCUUUUUUUAUCUAAAAAGAAGAGAACAUAUUAGAGCAGCUGGCUGCAUAAUAUUGUCGUGUCAUCAAGAGAUACGAAUAUCAUUCGCUCAUACGAUAGGGUUGGGUGGCUAGUGAUAUUUUUUCACUACAAAAUUGGAAGAGUAAACCAGGACGGAGGUAGUACUUGUUGUUAGGGUAACCAUAGAGUUACUGGAGUAGUCUAAGUAACUUUCCACUAUGACUAGCCUAGGCUACUAUAGUAGUACAGCAUAAAAACGAUGCAGGUGAUCACAUGAGAAAAAAUACUAAAAACAUUUCUUUCGGUGCAGUGCGUAGAUGCAGUUUUGAACACUACACUUGUCAUCGUAAUUUAGGAAAAUUACGAAAAAAUUGAGCUAUGUUGUGAUUACCAUUUACUUAUAGGAAAGAAGUUUCACCUCGAUGAGUAGCUUCUCCGUGCAUGGAAAGCAUGUAAGGAAUCCAACAACUUGAUCCAGAUUGGGGCCGAUAGAUUUUAGUGCUAAGAUCUUCAUUGUGCGCAUGGACUGGGUCAAGCUUGUGGGAAUCAUUUUCUGGAAGACGGUCGUAAAUACAUCAAGAAGAAAUUAAAAAUGUGAAUUUCAAGAAGACGGAGAAGAAGAUGAGUGUUGUACCUGAACGAUUACGGAUCCAAUAAAGAGUUCGGAGAAUUUGGCAGAUGAGUAAACCAAUGCUGUCAAUUUCAGCGCGUCAAUGACCCUGAUUUUUGUUGGACCUUCUAGAUCCGAUACAAGCAAUCUCUCAAGGAAAGGCGCAUUCUCAAUGACCAUAACAUGGAACAGCUGGAGUGAUCUCUUCCCAAUUGAUGUCUUGUUGCGGGACUAGCAAGACACAUAAAUCCAUCAAAGAUUCAUCGAGGCGAUGUGGAGGCUAAUGAACCCGUGGAUCUGCUCAAUACGAAGGUACUCGAGCGCAGUACAGCUACGGAGUAGGUGCUCACUAGCUUUCUUCGAGAUGACAAUGUCGAAGAGGUCGAGCUGCUUGAGUUGAGGGAGAAGAAGGGCGGGCGCGGAAUUAAUCUGGGGAAGAUAGCAGGAGCUGAAGCUGGCGCGGCGCAGCGUUGGCGUGAGGCGGAGCGCGGACGGCGGCAGAGAGCGACAUCGUCCAGCUUCAAAGCUGAGCUCCUCGAGCUGAUCUAGGGCGGGGGAUAAGAACCACUCGUCAAACUUGGGUUGGACCUUGCAGUUGGUACUGAACAUGCGAAUGUCAAGGCAUCUGGCUGGCCCAGGGUGCGAUGAAAGGAUCUUGGAGACUACGGCCAUGCGUUUGCAAUCCCCCUCGCAGAGGCAGCUGUCGACGGUGAGGUUGAGGGGGACGCAGCGCCAGAGGGGGCGCCACCGCCGGGAGAGCAGGGCAGUCUGCACGGCAGAUUUUGUGGGGAGGAGGUCGAUGAUGACAAGCAGCAUGUCGUCAGGGAGGCUGCUGAUGAAGUCCAGGAUCGCCGGAUGCGGUUUUGGCUCAAGCCGCCUCCGCUUGUUGGCUGCCUUGCCGUCCAUCUCAACUACGCGGCGACGCCGGCGUACACGUGUGCUGGUGUGUGUUGUGUGCUGGGUGUGCGCGAGUGCGUCCUUCUGUGCAUGCCGCCGCGAAGUGGUGAAUUGUGCGCGAGUGUGUCCUUCGCGCGCAAGAAGUUUGUCCUCAAUGCGCCCUCAAUUUACUAGCAUGCGGGGUGCUACCCCGAGUGGUUUCAACUUUGUUUACUUCACCGCGUGUCAGAUGGGCCUCUAGUUUACUUAUUUUCACCCACUGCCACAUGGGCCAGCACACGAAGAUACAGAACACGAGCUGACAAGGCAGCAUGUGGAUUGGUUGACUGGUCAACUAAACAAUAUACGAAGCUAUACGCUGACACAGUGAGCGUAUAAUCCGUCGGUAUAGAGAGUUCGAGUGAGAGGGGAGGCCCGUGAGAGAUAGCAGAGAGAGAGAGAGAGAAAGAGCUACUCCCUCCGUUCGAUAAUGUAGUUCCAACAUUUUUUAAGUCAAACUUUUGAAACUUUGACCAAGUUUAUAAAGAAAUUACUUAUAUCUACAAUACCAAAGAUAAAUGAUAGUAUAAAGUAAGUACAUGUUGUGAUGAAUCUAAUGAUCGUUCCAGAUGUAAAUGUUUUUCUCCGCAUAUACCUGGUCAAACUUUUCUGAGGUUUGACUUUUCAAAACAUCCAUAUGCUUAUGGACGUGACAGAGUCCCUAACUAGAGAGAGAGAGAGUGAAAAAAGUGUGUGUGCGUGUGUGAAAGAGACAUGGACAACACACAAUAAAAGUAGAGAAAAAGCAUGCGUGUCUUAUGCAAACAUAUCACACAUGCAUCUUCGACUACGGAGGCAAGGUGAGGAGAUAGCGUGUGGUUGUUUGGAACCUAGAGAGCAAGACCUCUAGCACGUGGCCAAGAGGGGUCUGACAAACAAGGGAGAGAGGUCGAGAGAGACGUACGGAGAAAAUGCAGACAUGGGGAGGAGAGAGUGUAUGUUUGUCAUAGAGAGAUCCCCUGGAGAUCGUGAUGGGACUACAUGGGUGGGAGAUCGAGUGACAAGGUGUGCGCGCAAUAGAAGAUGCCCCGGGAGAUAUCGAAAUAGACGUAUGGAUGGAAGGAGACAAUACGUGUGUUCCUGAUGGCUAGUAAGAGAUAAUCAUACUUAGGAGGGGGAGUGCUUGUGCCUAUGAUGGAGUGAGGGAUUAUGGUACUUAGGGGGUGCGUGUCACAUGGAAAGAGAAUAAGGAUAUAAGGCCAGUUUGGCUUGCGUCCUGAGCAUCUUUUGCCUGGCCUGGGGUUGUGGCUGGAUUUCAUGCACGCUUGUUUGGUUGCUACCCUGUGAAAAAGAAAGCCCGCCUGGCCUGGGUUCCCUUGCACUUUAAUUAGCCUGGCUGAACUCCAAACACUGCAAGUAGCCUGGCUCAGGCGACCGAUUUCGAACGCUUGGCCAUGCCUGGUCAUGUGGCCAUGAGGCUAACAGCAACGUGGAUGGAUAUAGCAUUAAAUAAUUGAUGCAUGGAUUGAUUGAUGGGAUGUUGAUGCUUUGCCUGGCCCAGGCAUGAACCAAACGCUUCAGCACCACACAAGCCUGGCCAGGCAGAAAUAUUUUACAUCUUACGUCCACACCAGGCAGUACCGUCCAUCAAGGCAUGAGGGUCAGGUCACGAACCAAACUGACCAGUAAAGUUUGAGAGAUAUUGAGGAGCCCCAAUAAGGUUGAGUGGUGUGUCAGAUAGCUGAGAGGGGGAAAGAGAUAUUCCAUCCGCUCCAUAAUGCAGUGCAUGUAAAUUUUUUAGAAGUCAAACUUUGGGAACUUUGAUCAGGUUUACGCAAAUGUUAUUUAUAUCUACAAUACCAAAGAUACAUCAUAAAAAACUACAUCUCAUGGUGAAUCUAAUGGUAUAUGUUUGCCGUACUAGAUGUAAUUCUUUUUCUCCACGUACAUGGUCAAACUUUGUGAUGUUUGACUUUUCAAUAAAUCUAUAUGCUAUGGACCAAGGAGAGUGCCCCAGUCGAGACAGAUCAAGUGUGUGUGAAGGAGAAUGAGUAAGUGUGCAAAAAGAGUAUGUGUGUGAAAGAAAAAGUGACAACAAACGAUAAAUUAGAGAGAGUGUGUGUUUUUUCGUUUCUUAUGCGAACAUAUCACGCAUGCAUCUCCGAGAUGGAAAAGCGAGGCGACGAGAUACACGAAGAUAGCUAGUGUGUGAUUGUUUGCAACGGAGAGAGACACCCCUGUAGCACAUGUCCAACAGAGGUCUGGCCAACAAGGAACAAAGGUCGAGAGGGACACAUGGAUGGCAUGGACGCAUGGGGAGGGAGAGAGGGUGUGUUUGUGAUAGAGAGAUCCCGUCGAGAUCGUGAGGGGACUAUAUGGGUGGAAGAUCGAGGAGUGCGUGCGCGAUAGAAAGAUGCCCCGAGAGAAAUCGAGAUAGACCAUGCACAUGUUUGUGAUGGAGACUAAGAUUAGCUAGUCAUAUACAUAUAGGGGGGACUGCGUGUGCCUACAAUUGAGUGAGAGACCAUCAUACUUGGCUAGCUGGGCAUGAGAUUGUGUGUGUGCACGUGUGAGAUGGAGAGAGAACGAGGGGGAGAGAUAGAGUUUUAGAUGGGCCUAUCGAGUGCGAGUGAGAUAUGCAUGUGUAUGUGUGACCCAGGUGGAUGGAGAGUUUGAGAGAGGGGGGAAGAGCUCGGAGACGAUAUAGUGGUGCGUGAGAGAGUUACGGGCAAAGAGCCAAGGAAUUUGUGUGCGUAUGAUGAGUGCACCCAAGAUAUCUAGCUUGGACUAGCUAGAGUAUCAUACAUAGUGUGCGAGAGAGACCUAUAGAUGGUGUAUAUAUGCAUGCUAACUAGAAAGACCCCCCACACACAAAGAGAGAGAGAGAGAGAGAGAGAGAGAGAUGGAGAGAAAGAGAGAGGGACCAACAAGGUUUUUGUGUCGGAUGCGUGCGACAGAAUUGAAUAUUGUCGGCGAGAGAGAGAGAGAGAGACAGACAGAGAACGGGAGUCCGGGAGAGGGGGAGGACGCGUUUUAUGCAUCAAAGACUGAUAUAAACCAUGUUUCGAUAUAAACUUGCAUUCAAAUAUUUAAAUUGGAGAACAUGUUGUCUGCAAUCCACACAUGAACGGAUAUAUGCGUAUAUCAAACAAGUUCAUUAAUUUGACUUUCAACAUGUUCAUGGAGUACUAUAAUACUGUACAACAUGCUACUCGAUUGAGGUGUUCAAUUUUGGAUUUAGUUCACUAUUUUGACCUACUAAACGAGCUAUUUCAUUGAAUCGAGAUAUUUCAUUUUGGGUUUGAUUCGCGUUUUUGAGUGGGUCAACUAUUUGUCAUAUAGUAAAUCGCUAGCAACGAGCAUGUAAAAACACAUUACUACCGAGCAUCAUCUCUCCAUCUAAAAAAGAAGUGGUAAGCUAAUAUUUCAAAAUUUGAUCUGAAUCGACUUGGUAAGGUAGACGUGGAUGCUCGUUCUCCCAAAAUUUGAACGAACCGUUAAACAUCCUCUCUGCUCGGUGGAAUUCGCCCGAGCAAAUAAAUGGGAGACACGAAAUUAUCGUCCUAUGUGGGACACGUAUCAAUUGGCCCGUUGUACAUCGAGGGUAGGUUCGUAACUUCAUCCAAGCGCGCCUUCUCCUCAGCCGAAAUGACAUGUGUCGAAUAAUUCAUAAACCAUAGUCGGCAAAACACGCUCUCCUCGCCCGAAAUAGCUCGCGCCCACUAUUUCAAAACACGCUCUCCUCGCCCGAAAUCGCUCGCGCCCACUAUAGUUCAAAACACGCCCUCCUCGCCCGAAAUCGCUCCCGCCCACUAUUUGUGGAGAAGCAAAGUUACUCUACUAUCCCCGACCCUUAGUACACAGACCCAGGCCGAGAAGCCUAUAGGCAAGGGUAGAACUGUAACUCCCCCUCACAUUUCAAACAAAUGCGUCCGUAAGACAUGGUUCCACUCCCCUCCCAAUUCCCGCCCGCCCGUCCCCAUUCAUACCUCGUGGGCGCCAAAUCACCUUCUCCCCGGGAAGCUCCCUUCUCUCGAGCCGCGAAACCUCAGCCCCACCUCCAUGGCGCCCCCCAUCGCACCAAUUUCACAGCCGUCCUCCUCCCUAAUGCCGGAGACACUGUCCAUUUGCCGUCGUGCACUGGGCCGUGUGCCUCUUACUCCGUGCUGCUGGUGCUGCCUCGACGACGGCCGCGUGAACCAUACCGGAGCCGAUUCACCCCCGCCGUUGUUCAUGGAGCCGGAGCCGCUCCAACUUUGGAUCCGUCCAGAGUCCUGGCGCUGCUUUCGCGUAGCCCUCGACCGUUGCGACAUCGCUCUUUCCCUGCCAUCGGUCGCCACCACAACCGCGCCGGCCUCACCGACUCGGCAGCUGGACCUGCCUACUUCAUCAUGUCGCCAGAUAGGUCGCACCCUCAUCUCAAAUCACUUUAUUUAGGCGUCAGUUGUAUGAAUUUUUAUUCUGGGCCAAUCGAUUCCCAAUGGGAAGCAGCACCCCUCGAGGCGGCGGAGCUCCUAGGCUGUCGGUUGGCUGGUGUCUAACAUAAGGGUGCGGGGCCGCAAGUUCACCGCGGAAGCAGCGCUUAGAUGGCUAUCUUUUAGAGUUGCGUGGGUUGAAGGUACUACCACCGUCGGAUCUGGAUGACGGGGAGUCUUUGUGGAUUGGCCCGGGGGCGGUGCAACCACGGCAGUGCCGUGGGGCGGGGAGCGGGGUUUUGGCCGGGGCCACGGAUGGCGGAGGCAGGCUGCUCUGCCGUUGGUCGCUGGCUCUUCGGGGAAGAUUCCGAACAGUGUCAGUCGGGAGGCACAAGACGGCCAGUCAUCCGGCGUAGAUCGGACAGUACCAAAAUAAAAUAAAAUCAUGUGACCCCAAUUUAGUCUUCAGUCAACAGACAUGUGACCACUCUCGUACCUUGCUGUUGUUCUCUUAGUGUAUUUCUUCAGAUCAAAGAGAUAUGUCAUUCUUAACAUUAUGUGUUAUCUGCAUCUUUAGACACACUAUCUUCCGACUCAUCGCAGCUGCUCCAACAAGGGAAGCAUACACCAGAAGGGAGCUAUAGUCCCCAGUCAACAGUUCCCUGCAUCGAAUGCGCGUGCCCGGCAUGGACAGCCACAACAACUACAGGGCCAUCCACAAGUCAGCACAUGAUGCUCACUCCUAUGGAUGGCAACCAGAUAGGUUGUACCCUCAUCUUACUUGUGUGCAACAUGUAUGGCUUUGUUAUUCAUCUAAGCAUGGAAAAUAGAUCAUCACAUUUCACUGUAUGUUCAUGCUGAUCUCUUACGGGUCUUGUUCAGGAGUUAACGAUGUUCCAUAGUUCAGCUAAGAUACUUGUUCUUUAGGUAACAUUGUUCCAUAGUUAUCAUCCAUCAGCCAAUGCUAUCCCACAGGCUGGUGAUUAUAGUAUUAUACCACUUCUAGUAUUACCUAUGUUGUUCUUUAGUACUUUUGUGUGCCAUCUAGUUAAUCUUGAGUACAAACGAUACAUAUUUUGUAGCUUUCAUCUGUGUUCUCCCUUUAGUUUAUGAGACAUGUUGCUGCUAAUUAACCCCAGUCCUACUAUUUAUGUCGUCUUCUACAAGCACUCAUUACAUAAAUCUAACUACUAGUUGUCUUCCAUGCAUGUCAGAUAUAAUUGCACACACUGAUAUAUCCACAAGAACCUCACAGAGCAAUGUAAAUGCCAAUAAACUUGAUGUCAAUGAUACCCAAUAUGAUGGAACAUGUAAAGGCAGUUCUUCAGAAGACUUACAGAAAGAUGAUGAAUCCUCUUCACCCCACAAGGUCCUUGCUCUAACUUGGCAUGUGAUAUGGGUACAACAUGCAUAUAAUGUUCUGGAGUGUAUCUACUCUGUUGCAAUGCCAUGUGCUUAGCAUGCUGAUCAUGCAUGUAAAUAUGGCAUGCCUUCCUGUUUUUCAAUACCUAUUCCAUUCAUGAUAACAUGUUUUCAAAUUCAAGUAUUGUCAUUCUACUCUAUCGCAAUGCCAUCUGCUUAAUUUGGACAUUAUGCUUCUGAAAAUCUUAUGCAUUGUUAUUCAUCAGUAUGUACUUCAUCUGUCUACCAUACCAUGUUUUUUUACAUUGAAGUGAUGUUCUAGUGCUCUGUUGCAAUGCCAUCUUAUUUUCCCAAUCAUACACGUGUAUGUUGCCUUAGUUAUUUCUGUACGUAUUCCGCUAGCAUACCGUUUUACAUUCAACUAGUGUUUUUUUGCUGUGUUGUCCUGUCGUAUCCCUAGCUCUUACACCAUACUCCCUCCGUCCGGAUUAUAUGUUGCCGAAAUGGAUAAAAAAAGGAUGUAUCUAGAACUGAAAUACGCCUAGACCCAUCCAUUUUUUCCGGAUGGAGGGAAUACAUGUCAAUAUGUCAUGCCUUUCUAUUCUUCAGUACCUAUUCCAUCUCUCUGUUGUCGCAUGUUUUAUAAUUAAAGCACCCAUUCUUCUAUACAAGGCAUGCAAGGGGAAGACGACUAUGUUAGAAUCUGAAGGGUUACAAACAAGGCCUUUGCAAAAGAUCCAAACGCCAGGAGAUAAUAAACCAACUCCAGUUUUUAUAGAUACUGCUCCAGCAUAGAGAAACCCAACUCCUACUGAUAAUAAGCAGAUUCCAGUGGCCAAAGAACUAGUCCGCUCCAAUCCAACAAAAAUAUGUCAACUCAAUUCUAAGAAGUGUGUGUGUAUCCUUGCAUCAUGAAAAUUUAUAGCAUGCUGAUCAUAUUUUCUACAUGUUUCUUACCCAUCUCUCUUUUAGAAAAUAAGCUUAACAGAUAUAAGAAUUUCUGCAAUGGUAUCGUUUAUGAGGAAAGAUUCUUGCAGGAAUUCUCUGUGCUCCAAUGUAGAUGUAAGUACCUGUUGUAUAUCACUAUAUUUUUACAUCAGCAUGUAUUUUGUUAAUCGGCGUGAAUGUAUGAUUAAAGGCCACAAUAUUGAUUUCUGCAAGGAAAAGUGCCUGAUAGUUUUGCAUCCUGAGCUGCAUGAGUGUACUAUCUCAUAUCAGUGGGUUUGAAUACUUUGGUUCUGCAGUGGGUUUUUCAGUGUUUUUUUACUGUGUUGUCCUGUCGUAUCCCUAGCUCUUACAUCAUACUCCCUCCGUCCGGAUUAAAUGUCACAGAAAUGGAUAAAACUGGAUGUAUCUAGAACUGAAAUACGCCUAGACCCAUCCAUUUAUUUCCGGAUGGAGGGAAUACAUGUCAAUAUGUCAUGCCUUUCUAUUUUUUAGUACCUAUUCCAUCUCUGUUGUAGCAUGUUUUAUAACUGAAUCACCAUUCUUCUAUAUAAGGCAUGCAAGGGGAAGACGACUAUGUUAGAAUCUGAAGGGUUAUAAACUAGGUCUUUGCAAAAGAUCCAAACGCCAGGAGAUAAUAAACGAACUCCAUUUUUCAUAGAUAAUGCUCCACCAUAGAGAAACCCAACUCCCACUGAUAAUAAGCAGAUUCCAAUGGCCAAAGAACUAGUCCGCUCCAGUCGAGCAAAAGAAUGUCAACUCCAUUCUAAGAAGCAUGUACAUAUCCUCGCAUCAUGAAAUUUUAUAGCAUUCUGAUCAUAUUUUCUACAUGUUUCUUACCCAUCUCUCUUUUAGAAAAUAAGGUUAAACGAUACAAGACUUCCUCCAUUGGGAUCGUAUUCGAGGAAAAUAUAUUGCGGGAAUUCUCUGUGCUCCAAUGCUGAUGUAAGUAUCUGUUGUAUAUCACUAUAUUUUUACAUUAGCAUGUAUUUUGUUAAUCGGCGUGAAUCUAACCUUUAUCUGAUUUAAGAUUAGUUGUAGCAAAAUGUUAAAGGCGCCAAUGUUGAUUUUUGUAAGGAAAACUGCCUGGUAGUUUUGCAUACUGAGCUGCAUGAAUGUACUAUCUCAUAUCACGCACAUUACUGAAUUGUAGCGCUUCUCUGGUUGCCCAUUCAUUCAUUGUGUUAAUGUUGCUUUCAUAUUACCUUACCUGACUGAUGAUAGCUGUGUCAUAUUGUGUUAAUUUGGUGUAGGCUAGUUGCCCAAAUGUUCGUUGUGUCAAUGUUGCUUUCCUAUUAUCUGACUUGGCCAAUGAUAGCAAUGAUAGUGUGUUAAUUUUGUGCAGGCUGCUGACGAUAAGAAGACAAACUCUGAAAACAGCAAGGCAACCCCAUUGUUUCUUUCCAGUAAAUCUAGGCCAGGUAAUAUGGCAAUAACUCAUGAUUAAUAUGUUUGGUUCCCGUCCUAGUUUAUGUUAUGAUGCAGUGGUCGAGACACUCUCCACUAUCAAUAAUACAAGCCUGCCAAAAUCACCAUCUGAAUCUGUUCAGUAUCCUCUGUCUCGAAUGCAACGGAAUAAAUGUAUGUUUGUGAACCAAUUAAUGGCUGAAGCAAUGAUGGAAAUGGUGGAUGAAUCAGAGGUGUAGAGUCGUGCGACACAACAACUAAUCAAUGUUUUCAGAGACAGUGUAGCAAAGUAGCAAGAACUUGCCCACAUGCUUAUGGGCGUCAUCUGUGCUGAGGUUGCAGAUUGUGACAUUGUAGAUGGUUAGGUUCUGCUCAUUUAUUUGCACUCGCAUCAAUCUUUGAUUGCCCAGUGGAUGUAAUUUCCUGUAAUAUAUGCUGGAUGUGCAACGUUAUUCCUUGUAUGUCAUACCUUUGCUUGAUCGCUUUUGAUCCUGUGCAUAAUUGCUCGUCGUAAUGGGCUCAAAUUAUCUAAUUUGGCCUAAAGACAUGAACGAACUUUAGUGGGCCCAUUAAGUUAAUGGGCCGUUACUAGGCCGAAAGUUAAUGGUCGGCCUCUUACCUCCCGGGUCGUUAACAGUCCGUUACUAAGUUUGGGCUACAUAUGGCCCAACUAUACUGUAGGCCUUUAGCAGGCCGAAAGAGACAGCGGGCUUGUACUGGACCAUGAAGAGCAUGGGCCGCUAAGAGGCUGAAAGUCAGGUCGUAUUGUAAACGAACCAACUGUGUUGUGGGCCUUUAGUAGGCCGAAAGAGAAACGGGCUGGUAUUGGACCAUGAAGGGCAUGGGUCGUUAAAAGGCCAAAACUAAGGUCCGACUACAAAUGGCCCAACUCAUUUAUGGUUCGUUAACAGGCCGAAAGGCACACAAGGUCGGGAAUCGGCCCAACACUUAAAUGGGUCGCUAAAAGGCCAAAACUCAGGUCCGACUACAAAUGGCCCAACUGAUUUAUAGGCCGUCAACAGGCUGAAAGUGACACCGGGCCAGAAAUUGGCCCAACACUUAAAUGGGCCGCUAAAAGGCCGAAACUCAGGUCUAACUACAAAUGGCCCAUCAGAUUUAUGGGCCGUCAAUAGGCUGAAAGACACACUGGGCCGAAAAUUAGCCCAACAUUUAAAUGGGUCGCUAAAAGGCCGAAAGAUGUACAUCCUGAAAAUUGGCCAUCCAUUAAAUGGGUCGUUAAUAGGCCGAAAUCUCAUCGGGCCGAUAUUGAGCCCAAAUAUAUAGCGGGCUGUUAACGGGCUUGAACUGACGAUGGGCUGCAAUGGUGUCAAAUGUUUAACGGGCCGUUGACGGGUCGAAUUGGCACAUCUCAUAUGGGUCGUGGGCUUAAAUGGACCUGACACAAGUAGGCCUUAUAUGGGCCGGCCUGCUAAUUUUUACUGGGCCGACCUUUUUCAUGGGAAUGGGCCACUGUUGGGCCGUGCCACGUGUCGACCUAUCAUAGGCGCCUCCUGUCCAAUGAGUGGAUGACAUCUGUCCCAACGGUGAGGCAACACAUGUUUCCUUCGGCCAAUCAGAAUUUUACACGUGGAAAUUUCCCAUUGGUCAGGGUUGUUAACGGGUUAUCGGAUCCAAAAUCCGACCCGAUAGCUUAACGAUGUUCCAUUACGGUGGAUGCCACGUGUCGGUCACCCUUGAUGAAAGCACUUCUAUAACGCACGAUUUAUCGUCAUGGAAGUGGACACUUCUGUGAUGAUAAUUUUGGUAAUGUCAUGGAACACUUCUACGACAGCACAGGUAUGACUAUCUUGAUUCUGUCAUAAAAUCGUCAUGGAUGUACAUGCAUGACAAAAAACGCGACCUACUGUGACAAACACGUAUCAUCACGGAAGUGUUUUUUUUUGUAGUGAACGUUGCCGACAAUACUCAAAUGGCUAAUCUCGAUAGACAAGUAACGCAAAAUAGGCUAGGGGUUAACAAUGCAAUGGCAAGGGAAUAUAUAAUGGAGGGAUACCACGAUACCAAGAUGAUAUGGAGGUUACCAUCUGUGUUGAUGAUGAGUGGCGGUGAUCUUGAUGGAGAUACCAAGAUGAUGGAGACUUGUCCCUAAGUAGACGAAACACCUUAGGAAACGGAAAAACCGCGAACCCAAAACCUCAAAUGUCAAAUGUCAAAUGAUGGUAGCGGGAUGCGGUGGUGGAAUGAUGGGUUAUGCGAGUACGCAAUGUGGAAGUGGAGGUUAUGGUGGUGUACUAUACACGAUGUUGAAGUUGAGGUCGCCGUCUCUAAGUAGCCGGAACACCUUAGGAGACACAACACACAACUCAAACAAGCUUAAACAAAUUUUGGUUAUGUUGGAUGGUGGAAGUGUAUGGUGGGUACGCCUAUGCGGAAGUGGAGGUGGUGGUUGGUGAAGAAGCAACCGUCCCUAAGUAGACGAAACACCUUAGGAGACUCGGGUCACAACUCAAACAACCUCAAAUGCAAAGGGGAAUAAAAUGGGUUAGGUUGCGGAAGUCGGAGGUGGUGUAGCGGAUGAUGUGGUGGAGGCCCUAGGCAAAGAUGCCAAAUUUCCAAAACUUUGAUGGAGUCAAAUGACGUUGGUGGUAUUUUUGUGGGAAGGGGAAUGUCAAGAGCUUCAAAACGAGCUAAAGAAUGUCAAAAUCGGAGUUCGGAUGAAUUAGUUAUGGCCGAAACAAAAAUCAGUCGAAGUCAACAUCUACAGGUUACGAACGUCCGUAAAUGGACGGAUGUCUGGUCGCCGGACGUUCGGUCGGGUCGGAAAUCCAUAAAUUUGGCUCGGGUUUAGGGUUCUAGUCGUCCAGAAAGUUGCGGACGUCCGGUCGUUCCUGAGGCUCCCGACGCCCGUAAAACGCCGGUCGUCCGGUGGGUCAGGGUCAACGCGGGAUUUGAGAUCCGGGACGCGAUUUUGGGCGGAAUUUGAUGAUUUGGGGGUCAAAAUUGAGGAGAUUUCAGUGAUGAAAGAUGAGGAAACUUGGGGAGAUGCUAGAUCCACUUGAAACCAAGCAAAUCCAUGGAUCAAAUCCAACAAAACUUCGUCAAACCAACAAAUCACAAAAAAAAAUUGAGGCUAUUUUUGGUGGGGAUUUUCGAAAUUGGGGAAGAACACAACAAAAUUAGGCUAGAAAACGAAGAGGGGAGGCUCCGAAAUCGUGAUCAACGUGGCUCAUGAUAUCAAGAUGAUGUAGGGUGGAACCCUAGAUGUCCAAUCUUUCACGAAAGGAGCGGAACCUGCGAAGAACACAAAGAACACGAGGGGAAACACGAGAGAAUCACUCAAACCAACAAGAACGAUCACACAUAUGCUAGAUCCUCGAACACAUAGAGAUCACACGAUCCAAAGUCAACACAGGACGAUACAAAGGGUAAUCGGUUCUUCUCCGUGAGGAGAUCUUGAUGGUCUUCUCCACGAGGAGGUCUUGAAUCCAAUGUGGAUCUUCUCCGUAGAGGGGUCGCGGUCUCUCUCGUGGAGUAGAUCCGAUGUGGAUGAGCGAGGCUCUAUCUCUAAUAUGAGCUAUCACAACGCUAACCCUAGCUAGGAGGAGGUAGGGGGUAUUUAUAGUCUAAGUGGGCGAAAGGGUAAGUGGGAAGGGAUACAAGGCCAAAGGCCUGCGGCUGCGCAUAGGCAGUUACCGGACGUCCGGUCGUUGUCGGACGUCCGACGGCUCGAGGGGGACCGGACGUCCGGCGGGCAUCGGAAGUCCGUCAUUUUGCUUCGGGAUAGGUGGCAUCGGAUUUCCGGUGAGCGUCGGAUGUUCGGUGCCUGGGACUUGUCGGACAUCAGGUGUUCAUCGGUCGUCCGGCGGCUGUAGAGGGUCGGACGUUCGAUGGCGUCCGGUCGUCCGGUCGAUGUAGACUCUGCAGCUCCUUCUUCUUCCGUCUUCUCUUCUAGGCUUCCUCGUGGAUGGUGUAGUUGUUCCUCGGCACUUGCACUCCUCCUCGUCAUCCGUGAAGCUCCGGCAAUACCUAUGCAUGCGCACGAGAGGAAUGUCAAGUAGUAUACCAUCCUCGAAGGGGUCAAGUGAGCACGUGUAAAGGAGAUGAUUCACCUUUGUGUAUGUGAAGUAGAUGUCGCACGUGUCACUCGCCGAACGGACUCCUGAUAUGGUGAUACCAUAGGAUGCUCCGCAUCAUUUUGUGUGAUUGAAGUUUUCAGUUUUGGGUUAUCUUACGAUGGACGAAGGAAGGAUGUAAGAGCCUAAGCUUGGGGAUGCCACAGCAGCCCAAGCUAUUAUUCAAGAAUGAGCAACCAACUAAGCUUGGGGAUGCCCCCGAGUGGCAUCCCCGCUUUCUUCCAACAACUAUCGGUAUUUUGCUUGAGAGUAUAUUUUUAUUCGUCACAUGAUAUGUUUUUUGCUUGGAGCGUCUUGUAUGAUAUGUGUCUUUGCUUGUUUUAUUUUGUGUUUUAAGUUAUCAAUCCUUGUUGGACACACCUAUUUGAGAGAGCCAAAAUUAUGUCAUGACUUGUUAGAAUUGCUCUCUAUCCUUCACUUAAAUCUUUUAUGAGCUAGGACUUGCUCUAGUGCUUCACUUUUAUCUUUUUGAGCAUGGUGUGCUUAGUAUUUUUGAAUAAAUUCUCUCUUGCUUCACUUAAAUUAUUUUAAGAGAAAGAAAAUUUGUCAUGCUCAUGAUCUUCACAUAUAUUUGGCUGAGCCUAUGAAAAGCAACUCAUGAAAAUUAGUCCCAAAGUGAUAGAUAUCCAAGAAGGAUAAGUAAAGAAAAUGUCAUGAAGAUCAUUGGACAAAAUAAACUUGAUUCUUAGUAAUAGUUUUGAGAUAUGAUGAUGUGAUAUGUGAGUUAUGUUGAUGAGUAAUUGUGCUCUAGUAAGAAUAUUGGUGUUAAGGUUUGUGAUUCCCUAUGCAUGCACGAAAGUCAAUAAUCAUGCAGUGAAAAUUAUAUCCUACAUAUGGUGCAUUAUUCGGUGUUAAUUAUGCUUAAUGCUUGCUUAUGAGAUUAUUCGUUUCUUGGUUGGUCGCUUCCCAAUCUUUUGCUAGCCUUCAUUUUGCGCCAAGUAUGGCCUCUACUCAUGCAUCCAAAAUCCUUUAAACCAGUUUUGCCACAUGAGUCCACUAUAUCUACCUAUAUGCGGUAUUCUUUUGUCGUUCUAAGCAAAUUUGCAUGUGCCAUCUCUAAUUUUCAAAAUAAACUUCUCUUUUGUGUGUUUGUUUCGCUCGCGGAACGGUAACGGGUGGCUAAUAUUUUCCAUGCUAUAUGUGUUAUUCUCAAGAUGAGUGUUUAUUCACUUGUCAUUGCACGAGAGUAAGGCAAAGGUAUUAGGGAUGCCCAGUCCCGAAAUGCAAAAGCAAAAAUUAAUUUACUUUACGUUGUCAAAUAAUAAAUUCCUUGGAAAGUGUUGGUAUGGAGGGCACCCGUGAAUACGGUUAGCCAUGGAAAGUGAAAGUUAUGAUGGAAAAAGGAAUAAACUUUAUUUUCUGUUUGGGAACCGCCUAUGAUAUAUCUAAGCAUGGAAAGUAUUGGGAACUCUAAGUCGUUUUCGUUGGUGGGAUGGAUACACCUCCCAAAAUGUUUUAUCUCGAUUUUUUUUGCUUUGAGCUCUGGCACCUCUACAAAUCUCUACUUCCCUCUAUGAAGGAACUUUCUUUUACUUUAUGCAAUUUUUAUUUUGAAAUUUGAGUCUCCAUCUUCUCUCAUAAAAAGCACCAACUAGGAGGCAGUAUGAUCAUGCUCAAGUAUUGGGUGUAGUUAAUAUUCGACUGUGUUUCAUGAAUGGAUCAAUGUUUGAGCAUGAUGGGCUAGGGAUAACUGAUUUUAGCAUUGAUAUUUUGAAAGACAUGGUUGCUUGUUGAUAUGCUUGAGUAUCUAAAUUACUAUGUCAAAACUAUACUAUUGCUUUGAAUCACAUAAAAGUCCAAAUGUCCAUGCUAUAAAGAAAAGAAUAUGAUAUGACUUGAUGAACAACACUCCACAUCAAAAAUUCUGUUUUUAUCACUUACCUACUCGAGGCCGAGUAGGAGUUAAGCUUGGGGAUGCUGAUACGUCUCCGACGUAUCUAUAAUUUUUGAUUGCUACAUGCUAUUUUAUUAUCAAUCUUGGAUGUUUUAUAAUCAUUUUAUAUCAUUUUUGGUACUAACCUAUUGACAUAGUGCCCAGUGCCAGUUCCUUUUUUUCAUGUUUUUUACAUCGCAGGAAAUCAAUAUCAAACGGAGUCCAAAUGGCACGAAACUUUACGAUGAUAUUUUAUGGGCCAAAAGGAAGCAGAUGGGCCCUAGUUGCACCUGGGGGGAGUCCCGAGGAGGGGACAACCCACGAGGGCACGCCAGGAGGCCCUGGCGCACCCUGGUGGGUUGUGCCCACCUCGGGUGCCCCUCAGACUGCCUCUUCGCUCUAUAAAUACCCCCAAAAAUCCCAAAACCCUAGGGGAGUCGACGAAAUAUUCAUCCAGCAACUGCAGAGUCCAAAAUCACCAGAUCCAAUCUAAACACCAUCUCGAAUGGGGUUCAACACCUCCAUUGGUGCCUCUCCGAUGAUGCGUGAGUAGUUCUUUGUAGACCAUCGGGUCCGUAGUUAGUAGCUAGAUGGCUUCAUAUCUCUCUCUUGAUUCUCAAUAUAAUGGUCUUUUGGAGAUCCAUAUGAUGUAGCUCUUUUUGUGGUGUGUUUAUUGGGAUCGAUGAACUUCGAGUUUAUGAUCAGAACUAUGUUUUAUAUCCAUGAAAGUAUUUGAAUUUCUUUGAUAUCUUUUAUGCAUGAUCUCUUAUAGCCUUGUAUUUUUUCUCCGAUAUUUGGGUUUUGCCUGUCCAACUCAAUCUAUUUAUCUUGCAAUGUGAAGAGGUGCCCGGUAGUGGGUUCGAUCUUACGAUGCUUGAUCCAAGUGACAUAAAGGGAACCGACAUGUAUGUACCGUUGCUACUAAGGAUAAAAAGACGAGAUCUAUAUCUACCGCCAUAUAGAUAAACGGAUCUUGUCUACAUCAUGUCAUUAUUCUUAUUCCAUUACUCCAUUUUUCCAUGAACUUAAUGCACUAGAUGCAUGCUGAAUAGCGGUCGAUGUGUGGAGUAAUAGUAGUAGAUGCAGGCAGGAGUCGGUCUAAUAAUCUUGGACAUGAUGCCUAUGUAAUGAUCAUUGCCUAGAUAUCAUCAUAAUUAUUUGAAGUUCUAUCAAUUGCCCAACAGCAAUUUGUUUACCCACCGUUUGCUACUUUUCUUGAGAGACGCCACUAGUGAAACCUACAGCCCCCGGCUCUUAUUUCUCAUAUAUUUGCCUUUACGAUCUACUUUUUUCUUACUUUUAUUUUUAGAUCUAUUAAACCAAAAAUACAAAAAUACUUUGCUGCACUUUAUUUUAUUUGCGAUCUAUUUAUCCAAUCUAUUACAACCUUUUUACCGUCACGCACCAAUUUCUGGCGCCAUUAUCCGAAAGGGAUUGACAACCCCUUUAACACGUCGGGUUGCGAGGUGUUGUUAUUUGUGUGCAUGGGCUGUGUUGCGUUGUGUUGUUUGAUUCUCCUACUGGUUCGAUAAGCUUGGUUUUAUAACUGAGGGAAAUACCUACCGCCUCUGUGCUGCAUCAUCCCUCCCUCUCUAGGGAAAUACCGACGUAGUUCUAGCUGCCAUCAAUGCACAUAUUGGUUCCUAAAUAUUCUACGAAGAUCUUUAUCCAUCGUACCAUAAUGACAACAUAUGUUAUUCCCUUUGUCAUCGGUAUGUUACUUGCCCGAGAUUCAAUCGUCGGUAUCUUCAUACCUAGUUCAAUCUCGUUACCGACAAGUCUCUUUACUCGUUCUAUAAUGCAUCAUCCUGCAACUUACUCAUUAGUCACAUUGCUUGCAAGGCUUAUCAUGAUGUGCAUUGAGAGGGCCCAGAGAUACCUCUCCGAUACUCGGAGUGACAAUCGUAAUCUCGAUCUAUGUCAACCCAACAAACACCUUCGAAAAUACCUAUAGAGCAUAUUUAUAAUCACCCAGUUACGUUGUGACGUUUGAUAGCACAUAAGGUAUUCCUCUGGUAUCCGGGAGUUGCAUAAUCUCAUAAUCAAAGGAAUAUGUAUUUGAUAUGAAGAAAGCAAUAGCAAUAAAACUUAACAAUCAUUAUGCUAAGCUAACAUAUGGGUCUUGUCCAUCACAUCAUCCUCUUAAUGGUGUGAUCCCAUUUAUCAAACUAGAUGAUACCCCGCGCGUUGCGGCGGGAUAUUAGUGGUCCAAGCAUAAGAAAUAAUAGAUGGGAGCUAUGUAGAGGACAAAUAUUGAUAAAUAAAGGAAAAUAGAGCAAAUGAAUUGUACCACUGAACGACCAAAGUAGGAUGUUUUAGUCACUGAAUGUAUAAAUAAAUAAUGCCACUUAAAAUAAUUGUCUUCAAAAUAAAGCUUACAUGACAUUUCAUGUUCCAACCUUAGAUGAAAGAACUCUUAUAAAAUCUGAUAUAAGCAUUCACUUGUAGCUCUUUACAAUUGAUAAUUUCCUUUUGUACGCAAAGAACAUCAAGCGUUAUUUCAAACAAAAAUAAUUUAUCAUUUCCAAAACAAAAGGGAACAUGUAUUUCCACAAAAAAGGCAAUAUGUAAGAAAUUAUUGAUAUUGUUUGCAUGUACCAUUUAGACCCCCAACUGAAAUGAAUGAUGCAGAGAAAUAGUUACUAAAUCCAAUGUGGAGAUCUGCAAAACAGCAAAUGGUGAUGCCAUAAUAUUUAAUUAAAAUGUUCUGUAAAACACUGUCGUAGACCAGGUUUCCAUUUUCAGUACAUAGUCGUCACUGCAAGCAUAUCCAGAAAGAACAAAUUGCAAAAAAUUUGAGUCCAAAACUUCAGGAACUGUAGCAACAUGAGAAGCUAGAAAAGCUCUAGUACUACAGGUUAUAUGCACAAUGAAAUGUAAAGAAAACAAAUACUAACCUUCAUGUUGGCAGACACUGUGAAGUGCAUUGAUAUAAGGAAAAGGACGGACUGAAAACCCAGAAUUAAUUUAGAGGGGUCAGCAACAUGCACAUGUGGAGAGGGCAGGCCUGGCGCAGUGGUGAAGUCCUCCCCACUUGUGCCAAGAGGUCCUGGGUUCGAACCAGCCUCUCUGCAUUGCACUUUGCAGGGGUAAGACUAGGUUCCUAUAAUCCCUCCCCAGACCCCACCUUGUGUGGGAGCUUCUAUGCACUGGGUCUGUCCUUUAGCAACAUGCACAUGUGGAAUAUGAAGAAGUAAUAUUGGAUGGAAGUAGCUAUUUUAGCAGUUAGGGAAAAUACCUAGUACUUAUCCAAACACAUUGGUAUUUCGUUCUUUAUUACUCACCUACAUGACUGAGAAUCACCACACAUGAAAAUAAAAAUAACUGGUAAAAACAUGAAAAUAAAAAUGAUGUACCAUUUUAUAACAUACUGUCUUUGGAGUUCCACAAAUCGACCAUACUGAAUGGAAGCAAAGCAUGGUCAGGAAAGCAACCUGAGGGAUAAUUGGUCGUAAAAGCAGAGCAUGAUAGUGAAGAAUGGUUGUAGUGGCUGCACUCACUAUAGCCUGGAGGGGCCGAUGCAAAUCAUUUCCCAAAUUGAGGCACCGGUGACAUUUAAAACAUGAUAAAAGUCUGUAAUACUGGUCGUAACAGCGGAGCAUGAUAGUGAAGAAUUGUUGUAGAGGAUGCACUCAGUAUAACCGGAGGGGUCGGUGCAUAACAGGAGAUUGAAAGCAUUUCCCAAAUUGAGGCGCUGGUGACAUUUAAAAGAUGAUAAACUAGUAAUACUCAUCAGACAUAAUUGAAGAUCCUGAUUUACACCAAAAAAUUCAAGCUGAUGUAUAUACAGAACAUAAACAGCUACAUGGAAGCCACCGCACACAAAUAGACUAAGAGAGAGAGAGAGAGAGAGAGAGAGAGAGAGAGAGAGGGACGGAGGGAGAGAGAGAGAGAGUCCGUCCCAGCAGGCAGUAGCGAUUAAGCUCUUGAGCGGGUCUGGAACCCAUUAGGUGCGGCGGCAGAUGGGGACUGUUGUGUAGCGGCCGUGAUCCGGCCGGGCGGAGGACGGCUAGAACAACCUUCUCGGCGGGGCUGCUGCUUGGAUCUUGAACGACGGCAGACAGCAAGCAUGAUAUUGCUUCGAUCCUACACGGUGAGGAUGUACUCCAUGGUUGGGUGGGCUACGGAAACAGGGGAGCAUCGUGUUGAAGAAGAUCAAGUGGAGGGGCGAGAGAAUGGGAAGAGACAGGGAUGCGGAUAGCGAUUAGCGGGGGAGAGCGAGGUCGUUCGUCUUCUAAUAGAUAAUGAACCUUUUGGGCUGGUAUGUUAAUUGGAAGAAGAAAAUGCUGACAUGGCACUGUGGUGAUCCUGGUGGGCCGUGAAACUUAUGUGGCAUGAAGGUGAUAUGGACAGUGUGCAUGUUAAGAGAAUUAGAAAUAGUGGGGAGCAACUUCUUAAGAAUGUAAGAUGACAUCACAUGUCUAUGGCUAGGAAACGUAAUCAUCUUUGAUUAACGAGCUAGUCUAGUGGAGGCCUACUAGGGACACUGUGUUUUGUCUAUGUAUCCACACAUGUAUCAACUUUCCGGUUAAUACAAUUCUAGCAUGAAUAAUAAAAAUUUAUCAUGAUAUAAGGAAAUAUAAAUAACAACUUCAUUAUUGCCUCUAGGGCAUAUUUCCUUCACAACGCGCCUUGGAGCGAUGGCGUUGUCUACGGCGUUUCGGCGGCUCAUCGCUGGGCCUGCCAUUAUCCUUCCCGAGAGUGCCGUCAUUUUCUUUCGGGGUGUCCACCAUGUAGACGUCGUAGGUGGAUGUGGCCGUCCAGCGGCCGGUUACGGGAGGAGCGGCAUCGGUGUUAGCCAUGGCUCCGCUAUCCUCGUCCAUGUAUUCGGCAUUUUCCGAGGUGUAAUCCAACAUGUCGGUUAAGUCUUCGACAGUGGCCACUAAGUGGGUGGGACGUAAAAUUCCCUGAAAUCUACCUCAAAGGGCCGCUGAAUGCGAGCCGAGGGCGAGUCCUCCUGAAUAGCCAUUAUCUAAAUUCGUUCCAACGCCUCAUUUAAUAAGGCGAGGGUCGUCGGACUGGUAUGUGGCGGCUGCUGCGGGCCGGUUUCCGAUGUGGCAGGGAAGGGAACGGUCCGGGCUCGGGCUGGAUCCUGAUCUCCGAGGGCCGAGGGAAAGAUCUGGUAUUCGGAUACUGUUUUCAUGUUGGGGCUUGAAGCCAAGUUGUCGAGGGGGAGUUUGGCUAGGGAUGACUCCCGGCCACUGAACAUCAACCCAUUGCUAGGGCUCAAGGCUGUAGGCGUGUCGUAAGGAGAAGGUUCAGUCGGGAGCGAUUCUCGGCGUCCGAACAUUACUUCCACAUUGUGGCCUGAAGAUGGGUCUUCGUCGGUCGUUGGGGACACGGUCGAAAGGGAUUCCCAGCCUCCGUUCGAGGCGUACACGUCCGAGCUCGGGGCCGGAUGAGGGGUUGGGGUCGAUCCGUAGAUUGGAUCGGGGGACAGCUCCGGAGUGGGCACAGGGAAUCCGGUAAAAACCAGAUCAUCUCGGACGUCCGCAACAUACUCCAGAUUGCCUAAUCGAAUAUGGUACUCGGGGGAAAAGUUGUUGAUCCGAUCAAGGACCAGUUGGGUUGGCAUGCAGCACGAUGCUGCCGAACGUGAAGAGUUGGCCGGGGACAAAGAGGUCCCCGGAGCUGAUGCCUUCUCCGAUGAUCAGGCGGGCCAUUGAUCCUUUGGCGAACCAACAACGGAACUCUCAAUGAAAGCACCAAUGUCGGUGUCAAAACCGGCGGAUCUUGGGUAGGGGUCCCGAGUUGUGGAUCUAGGAUCGAUGGGGAACAGGAGACGAUGAACACGGUAUUUACCCAGGUUCGGGCCCUCUCGAAGAGGUAAAACACUAUGUCUUGCUUGAUUGUAUUUGAUGUAUGGUGUGGUUACAGAGUAGAUCCACCUCGAGAUCGAGCGAGCUAAACCCUAAGGUGAUGAGGUGAUGAAUGUAGCUCUAGCCCUAAAUCCCUAAACCCUCUAGUUUAUAUAGACACCAUUAGGGUUAGGGUUACAUGCGGUCGGUUACAAUGAAGGAAAUAUCACACCAAUCUUGACUUGGAGGGUACACCACGACUCCGAAGAUCUCCUGUCCAGUCACGGGUCCGCACUCUAGCUUGGCCCCAUAGUGGCCCAUUAGUCUGGCCCACAUGUAAUGGGUCGACAGCCCGAGGACCCCUUAGUCCAGGACUCCCGCCGCGGGUAUUAAGGAAGAAUUUGAGAAAUAUGUUCACAACACAGAGCUCGGCCCCUACAUCAAAGAUAAGUGCAUCCAACAUCUCAACCUCACAGAAACGUUCACUAACAAAUUUAAAUAUCAUCCUCGUGAGUCUAGAGUUUCAAUUAGUCUUUAUGAUUAUCCCUUUACCAUGACUCUAGAUGUGUUCUGUGAUGCCUGUAAAAUUUCAUAUUGGGGUUCGCUGGACGAACCGCCAAAAUCUAAGUAUGAGUCAUUUUUUGAUUAAUCUUUGCUAUGGAGAGGAUAGAGGAGUGACACAAGGUAGAAUAAAAAGUAUCCAUUUUCCAUCAAUCCACUACUUUGCACUCUUUAAUGGCAAAUGCUUUGUGGGCAAGCAAGAUUGUAGCACACUAUGUGCUCCUGACUUGAGCCUCAUACACACAGCUUUCGCUGAAAUUAAACAUUAGAAUCUAGGAGCAAUCGUUGCAUAGAGGUUGCAACGUAAUGCUGACAGUGGUCACUUUUAUGGUGGAAUUUAUGCUUCUCGUUUAGCCAAAAAGAUUUCUCGAUCCUUCUUUUUGCUUGCUGGGAGCUUUCCCGUAUAAAUAGUUUUUCUCGUUUUUGUUUUUCCUUCUUUAAUUUGCUUUCUUCAAGAAAAACUAAAAACUCUAAAAAAAAUGUGUGUUUCUCUGGAUUUCUUUCCUUUUUAUUAAGUCGUACCAAGGAGAAGACCACGAUAAAAAUGUUGAGUGGCUCUUAUAUGCAUUAUUGUUGAUUUAACAAAGAGCCCAUAUGACCUUGUCUUCUCCUUUUGAAUAAAAUGUUUGCAGAUUCCAGCUUAGUCCACAACACUCUUGCACUAUUAUUAUUUUCAUAUCCUUAGGUCAUACAAGUGAAAGGCAAUAAUGAUGAUAUUUGAUGAAGUGACUAUGGCAAAGAGAAGUGGGUAUGAACUCAACUUGUUUUUUUGUAAAUAUGUUUUACCUAGUAUCCACGAUUCAGCAUGUUAUGAUCAAACAUGUUUGCAAUGACAGUUAGAGAUUAUAGUUCCCAUGCCAUGUUUAAGUAGCUAGGAGUGGAUAAUGAUUUAUCUUGGAUGUCAACAUGCAUCAAAAUGAUUGUGAUGUAGUAUGAUGAUAUGGUAUCCUCCUUUGAAUGUUUCAAGGCUUGACUUGGCACAUGUUCACACAUGUAGUUGAAUCGAAACCAACAUAGCCUCUAUGAUAUUUAUGUUCAUGGUGUUCAUAUCAUACUCAUGCUAGAAUUCAAUGUUGAUUAUGCAUAACGCAUGUUCAUGACCGUUUUCGCUCUCUAGCUGGCCGCUUCUCACCCUAUCUACUAGCCUUCACCUGUACUAAGCGAAAAUACUACUUGUGCAUCAAAAUCCUUAAACCAAAGUUAUUCCAGAUUAGUCCACUAUAUCUACCUAUAUGCGGUAUUACCCUGCCAGUAAAUUUGCAUGCGCCACCUCUAAAAUUUCAAAUGAACAUAUGUUUUGUGUGCCUGGACCGCUCAUGGAGCGAUAGGGGGUGGUAAAUAUCUUCCAUGCUAAGCGGGUUAUUCUCGUGAUGAGUGUUUAUUCACUCGUCCUUGCACGAGAGGGGCCGGUAAUAGGGAUGCCCAAUCCCGAAAUAAAAAAUUGCAAAUAAUUAAACAAAACUCCCCCAUGUUUGUUGUUGGUAUGGACGACACCCGUGAAUUCGGCUAGCUGUGGAGUGUGUUUGUUGGUGGAGGGGGAGUAAACCUUUACUUUUAUUGAUUAGGAACCACUACUAAUUUGUUAGCAUGGAAGAUAUUGAUAACUCUUGGUCGUAGCGUUGACAGGAAGGGUGUACCUCCCAAAAUUUUAUUUAUUUCUGCUUUAACCUUUGAGCUCUGGCAUUGCUGCAAAUUCCUGCUUCCCUCUGCGUAGGGACUAUCUAUUUAAUUUUAUGUUGAGUCAUCACCUUCUCAAACAAGCGCCAAACCUGAGAGCACUAUUGCCAUCCUCAUGCAUUGUGUUUAGUUAAUGUUGGAUGCAUCAUGACUGGAUCUUUUCUAUCAUGAAUUACAAUGUUUAGUCGCUGCUUGAACUUUGGAGGUGAUUUGCAUUUAUGUUUUGUAGUCCCAGAAAGGACUAGCGAGAUACCACAGUUGUCAUAUUAUAUCACGAUUGUUUUGACAAAGUGUUGGCAUUUGAUAUAUCUUAUUAUUGCCCUCUAGUUGAUUAUGCUAUUGAUAUGAGUUAAUAUAAUUUCUAAGAGUUAUUGUUGACAUGGUUAGUCAUGAUCUUUGCUGAAAACCUAGGUGCUGUUGGAAAUAUGCCCUAGAGGCAAUAAUAAAUUAGUUAUUAUUAUAUUAUAUUUCAUUGUUCAUGAUAAUCGUUUAUUAUCCAUGCUAGAAUUGUAUUGAUAGGAAACUCAGAUACAUGUGUGGAUACAUAGACAACACCAUGUCCCUAGUAAGCCUCUAGUUGACUAGCUCGUUGAUCAAUAGAUGGUUACGGUUUCCUGACCAUGGACAUUGGAUGUCGUUGAUAACGGGAUCACAUCAUUAGGAGAAUGAUGUGAUGGACAAGACCCAAUCCUAAGCCUAGCACAAAGAUCGUGUAGUUCGUAUGCUAAAGCUUUUCUAAUGUCAAGUAUCAUUUCCUUAGACCAUGAGAUUGUGCAACUCCCGGAUACCGUAGGAAUGCUUUGGGUGUACCAAACGUCACAACGUAACUGGGUGGCUAUAAAGGUUCACUACAGGUAUCUCCGAAAGUGUCUGUUGGGUUGGCACGAAUCGAGACUAGGAUUUGUCACUCCGUGUAAACGGAGAGGUAUCUCCGGGCCCACUCGGUAGGACAUCAUCAUAAUGUGCACAAUGUGAUCAAGGAGUUGAUCACGGGAUGAUGUGUUACGCAACGAGUAAAGAGACUUGCCGGCAACGAGAUUGAACAAGGUAUCGGGAUACCGACGAUCGAAUCUCGGGCAAGUAUCGUACCGAUGGACAAAGGGAACUGUAUACGGGAUUGAUUGAAUCCUUGACAUCGUGGUUCAUCUGAUGAGAUCAUCGUGGAGCAUGUGGGAGCCAACAUGGGUAUCCAGAUCCCGCUGUUGGUUAUUGACUAGAGAGUUGUCUCGGCCAUGUCUGCAUGACUCCCGAGCCCAUAGGGUCUACACACUUAAGGUUCGAUGAUGCUAGGGUUAUAGGGAAUAGAUAUACGUGGUUACCAAAUGUUGUUCGGAGUCCCGGAUGAGAUCCCGGACGUCACGAGGAGUUCCGGAAUGGUCCGGAGGUAAAGAUUUAUAUAUGAGAAGUCAUCAUACGGUCACCGGAAUAAUUCGGGGGUUACCGGUAUUGUACCGAGACCAUUGGAGGGGUUCCGGGGGGUCCACCGGGAGGGUCCACCUGCCCCGGAGGGCCCUAUGGGUUGUGUGUGGAGAGGGACCAGCCCCUUAGUGGGCUGGGCGCCUUCCCCCCUAGGGCCCAUGCGCCUAGGGUUUGGGGGAACCCUAAAGGGGGGCGCCCCCCUUGCCUUGGGGGGCAAGGCAACCCCCCUGGCCGCCGCCCCCUCCUCAGAUUGGAUCUGAGGGGGCCGGCCCCCCUCUCCCUUGCCCCUAUAUAUAUGUGGGGGUGGGAGGGCAGCCGCACCCAAGUGUUGGCACAGCCCUCCCCCUCUCCCAAGUCCUCCUCCUCUCCCGCGGUGCUUGGCGAAGCCCUGCAGGAUUGCCACGCUCCUCCUUCACCACCACGUCGUCGUGCUGCUGCUGGAUGGAGUCUUCUCCAACCUCUCCUUCUCCCCUUGCUGGAUCAAGGCGUAGGAGACGUCACCGGGCUGCACGUGUGUGGAACGCGGAGUCGCCGUGGUUCGGCGCUUAGAUCAGAAUCAACCACGAUUUGAAUCACUACGAGUACGACUCCUUCAUCCGCGUUCUUGCAACGCUUCCGCAUAGCGAUCUACAAGGGUAUGUCGAUGCACUCCCCUUCCUCUCUUUGCUAGAUUACUCCAUAGAUUGAUCUUGGUGAUGCGUAGAAAAUUUUAAAUUUCUGCUAUGAUCCCCAACAGUGGCAUCAUGAGCUAGGUCCAUGCGUAGUUUCUAUGCACGAGUAGAACACAAAGCAGUUGUGGGCGUCGAUAUUGUCAAUUUACUUGCCGUUACUAGUCUUAUCUUGAUUCGGCGGCAUCGUGGGAUGAAAUGGCCCGGACCGACCUUACACGUACUCUUACGUGAGACUGGUUCCACCGACUGACAUGCACUAGUUGCAUAAGGUGGCUAGCGGGUGUCUGUCUCUCCCACUUUAGUCGGAUCGGAUUCGAUGAAAAGGGUCCUUAUGAAGGGUAAAUAGAAAUUGGCAUAUCACGUUGUGGUUUUCGCAUAGGUAAGAAACGUUCUUGCUAGAAACCUAUAGCAGCCACGUAAAAACUUGCAACAACAAUUAGAGGACGUCUAACUUGUUUUUGCAGCAUAUGCCUUGUGAUGUGAUAUGGCCUGAUGAAUGAUAUAUGUGAUGUAUGAGAUUGAUCAUGUUCUUGUAAUAGGAAUCACGACUUGCAUGUCGAUGAGUAUGACAACCGGCAGGAGCCAUAGGAGUUGUUUUAAUUUAUUUAUGACCUGUGUGUCAACAUAAACGUCAUGUAAUUACUUUACUUUAUUGCUAAAGUGUUGGCCAUAGUAGUAGAAGUAAUAGAUGACGAGACGACUUCAAGAAGACACGAUGAUGGAGAUCAUGGUGUCAUGCCGGUGACAACGAUGAUCAUGGAGCCCCGAAGAUGGAGAUCAAAAGGAGCAAAAUGAUAUUGGCCAUAUCAUGUCACUAUUUGAUUGCAUAUGAUGUUUAUCAUCUUUUACAUCUUAUUUGCUUAGAACGACGGUAGCUUAAAUAAGAUGAUCACUCACUAAAAUUUCAAGAAAAGUGUUCCCCCUAACUGUGCACCGUUGCGAAGGUUCGUUGUUUCGAAGCACCACGUGAUGAUCGGGUGUGAUAGAUUCUAACGUUCGAAUACAACGGGUGUAAGCCAGAUUUACACACGCAAUACACUUAGGUUGACUUGACGAGCCUAGCAUGUACAGACAUGGCCUCGGAACACGGAAGACCGAAAGGUCGAGCAUGAGUCGUAUAGAAGAUACGAUCAACAUGAAGAUGUUCACCGAUGUUGACUAGUCCGUCUCACAUGAUGAUCGGACACGGCCUAGUUGACUCGGAUCAUGUUUCACUUAGAUGACUAGAGGGAUGUCUAUCUGAGUGGGAGUUCAUUGAAUAAUUUGAUUAGAUGAACUUAAUUAUCAUGAACAUAGUCUAAAUUGUCUUUGCAAAUAUGUUGUAGAUAAAUAGCUCACGUUGUAGCUCCCUGUUUCAAUACGUUCCUAGAGAAAGAUUAAGUUGAAAGAUAUUGUAAGCAAUGAUGCGAACUAGGUCCGUAGUCCGAGGAGUGUCCUCACUGCUGCACAGAAGGCUUACGUCUUUGAUGCACCGCUCGAUGUGCAAAUCCCUACAACAUCGUCUGUGGAUGUUGUGAACACCUGACAGACACGUCUUGAUGACUACUUGAUAGUUUAGUGCACAAUAUUUUACGGCUUAGAAUCGGGAUUCCAAUGACGUUUUGAACGCCAUAGAACAUAUGAGAUGUUCCAAGAGCUGAAAUUGGGAUUUCAGGCUCAUGGCCGUGUUGAGAGGUAUGAGACCUCUCACAAGUUCUUUUGCCAACAAGAUGGAGGAGAAUAGCUCAGCUAGCGAGCAUGUGCUCAGAAUGUCUGGGUGCUACAAUCACUUAAAUCAGGUGGGAGUUAAACUUCCAGAUAAGAUAGUGAUUGAUAGAGUUCUCUAGCCACUAUCACUAUGUUGGGGAACGUAGCAGAAAUUCAAAAUUUUCUACGCAUCACCAAGAUCAAUCUAUGGAGUAAUCUGGCAACGAGGGGAAGGAGAGUGCAUCUACAUACCCUUGUAGAUCGCUAAGCGGAAGCGUUCAAGUGAACGGGGUUGAUGGAGUCGUACUCGUCGUGAUCCAAAUCACCGAUGAUCCUAGUGCUGAACGGACGGCACCUUCGUGUUCAACACACGUACAGCCCGGUGACGUCUCCUACGCCUUGAUCCAGCAAGGGGAGAAGGAGAAGUUGGGGAAGACUCCAUCCAGCAGCAGCACGAUGGCAUGGUGGUGGUGGAUGAGCGCGGAACUCCAGCAGGGCUUCGCCAAGCACUACGAGAGACGAGGAGGGAGAGGGGCAGGGCUGCGCCAACAGGGAGAGCAAAUCACAUGUGUUGGGCAGCCCCAAACCUCAAGUAUAUAUAGGGGAAGGGGAGGGGCUGCGCCCCCACCUAGGGUUCCCUCCCUAGGGGUGGCGGCAGCCCCCAGAUCCCAUCUGGGAGGCGGCCAAGGGGGAGAGAGAGGGGGGCGCACCUAGGGUGGGCCUUAGGGCCCAUCUGCGCCUAGGGUUUGCCCCCUCUCCUCUUGAGGACGCCUUGGGCCUUGGUGGGAGGCGCCCCAGCCCACAUAGGGGCUGGUCCCUUCCCACUAUUGGCCCAUGUAGGCUUCCGGGGCUGGUGGCCCCACCUGGUGGACCCCCGGACCCCUCCGGUGGUCCCGGUACACUACCGGUGAUGCCCGGAACACUUCCGGUGGCCAAAACCAUACUUCCUAUAUAUCAAUCUUUACCUCCGGAACUCCUCGUGACGUCCGGGAUCUCAUCCGGGACUCCGAACAACAUUCGGUAACCACGUACAUACUUUCCCUAUAACCCUAGAGUCAUCGAACCUUAAGUGUGUAGACCCUACGUGUUCAGAAAACAUGCAGACAUGACCGAGACACCUCUCCGGUCAAUAACCAACAGCAGGAUCUGGAUACCCAUGUUGGCUCCCACAUGCUCCACGAUGAUCUCAUCAGAUGAACCACGAUGUCAAGGACUUAAUCGAUCCCGUAUACAAUUCCCUUUGUCUAGCGGUGCGAUACUUGCCCGAGAUUCGAUCGUCGGUAUCCCGAUACCUUGUUCAAUAUCGUUACCAGCAAGUCUCUUUACUCGUUCCGUAACACAUCAUCCCGUGAUCAACUCCUUGAUCACAUUGUGCACAUUAUGAUGAUGUCCUACCGAGUGGGCCCAGAGAUACCUCUUUGUUUACACGGAGUGACAAAUCCCAGUCUGGAUUCGUGCCAACCCAACAGACACUUUCGGAGAUACCUGUAGUGUACCUUUAUAGCCACCCAGUUACAUUGUGAUGUUUGGCACACCCAAAGCACUCCUACGGUAUCCGGGAGUUGCACAAUCUCAUGGUCUAAGGAAAUGAUACUUGACAUUAGAAAAGCUUCAGCAUAUGAACUACAUGAUCUUGUGCUAGGCUUAGGAUUGGGUCUUGUCCAUCACAUCAUUCUCCUAAUGAUGUGAUCCCGUUAUCAACGACAUCCAAUGUCCAUGGUCAGGAAACCGUAACCAUCUAUUGAUCAACGAGCUAGUCAACUAGAGGCUUACUAGGGACAUGGUGUUGUCUAUGUAUCCACACAUGUAUCUGAGUUUCCUAUCAAUACAAUUCCAGCAUGGAUAAUAAACGAUUAUCAUGAACAAGGAAAUAUAAUAAUAAACAAUUUAUUAUUGCCUCUAGGGCAUAUUUCCAACACACUAAGCUACUAGAUCUUCGUGAUGAACUAUGACAUGCAAGGGAUGGAGUUGAUCCCGGAGCUGUUCGCGGUACUUAAGACCGCAAAAGGUAGAAAUCAAGAAGGAGCAUCAAGUGUUGAUGGUUUAACAAGACCAUUGGUUUCAAGAAGGGCAAGGGCUAGAAGGGAAACUUCAUGGAUGGCAAACCAGUUGCCGCUCCAGUGAAGGAACCCAAGGUUGAACCCAAACCCGAGACUAAGUGCUUCUAUUGUAAGGGGAACGGUCACUGGUAGCGGAAUUACCCCAAAUGCAUGGUAGAUAAGAAGGCUGGCAACUUCAACACAAUUUAUACGUGUUAUUAAUGUGUACCUCACUAGUACUCCUGGUAGCACCUGGGUAUUGGAUACCGGUUCAGUUGCUAUUAUUGGUGACUUGAAGCAAAAGCUAUGGACUAAACAGAGACUGGCUAAGGGUGAGGUGACGAUGUGUGUUGGAAGUGUUUCCAAAGUUGAUGAGAUCACCAUCGCACGCUCCAUCUGCCUUCGGGAUUAGUAUUGAACCUAGAUAAAUGUUAUCAUGUGUCUACGUUGAGCAUGAAUAUGAUUAGAUCAUGUUCAUUGCAAUACGGUUAUUCAUUUAAGUUAGAGAAUAAUGGUUAUUCUGUUUACAUGAAUAAUAUCUUUCAUGGUCAUGCACCCUAUGUGAAUGGUUCAUUGAAUCUCGGUCGUGGUAAUACACAUGUUCACGCCAAAAGAUGUAGAGUUAAUAAUGAUAGUACCACUUUCUUGUGGCACUGCUGCUUAGGUCAUAUUGGCGUAAGAUGCAUGAAGAAACUCCAUGUCGAUGGAUGUUUGGAGUCACUUGAUUUUGAAUCGCUUGACACAUGCGAGCCAUGCCUCAUGGGCAGGAUGACUAAGACCCCGUUUUCAGGUACAAUGAAACGGGCAAGUGACUUGUUGGAAAUCAUACAUGCUGAUGUGUGUGAUCCAAUGAGAAUUGAAGCGUGCGGUGGAUAUCGCUAUUUUCUCAUCUUCACUGACGAUUUGAGUAGAUAUAGGUAUAUUUACUUAAUGAAGCACAAGUCUGAAGCGUUUGAAAAGUUCAAGCGAUUUCAGAGUGAAGUUAAGAAUCAUCAUAACAAUAAGAUCAUGUUCCUACGAUCUGAUCAAAAGGGGAUUUUCUGAGUUAUGAGUUUGGCAAUCACUUAAGACAUUGUGGAAUUGUUUCACAGUUGAAGCCACCUGGAACACCACAAGGUAAUGGUGUGUCCGGACGUCGUAAUCGAACCCUAUGAGAUAUGGUGCGAUCUAUGAUGUCUCUUACCAAUCUACCAUUUUCAUUUUGAGGUUAUGCGUUAAAGACAGCUGCAUUCACUUUAGAUAGGACACCAUCUAAGUCCGUUGAGACGACUUCAUAUGAACAUUGGUUUGGCAAGAAACCAAAGUUGUCGUUUCUUAAUGUUUGGGGAUGCGAUGCUUAGGGCUUCAGCCGGAGAAGCUCGAACCCAAAGCGGACAAACACAUCUUCAUAGGAUACCCAAGGGUGACAGUUGGGUAUACCUUCUAUCUCAGAUCCGAGGGAAAAUUGUUUGUCGCUAAGAACGGGUCCUUUCUUGAGAAGGAGUUUCUUUCGAAAGAAUUGAGUGGGAGGAAGAUAGAACUUGAUGAGGUUGCCGAACCUUUACUUCAACCGGAGAGUGAUGCAACACAGAAAGAUGUUUUCUGUGGAGCCUACGUCUGUUGAAUAGGAAGUUAAUGAUAGUGAUCAUGAAGCUUCAGAUCAAGUUGCUAUCGAACUUCGUAGGUCGACAAGGAUGUGUGCUACUCCUGAGUGGUGCAGUGAUCCUGUCUUAGAUAUCAUGUUGUUAGACAACAAUGAACCUAUGAGCUAUGGAGAAGCGAUGGUGGGCCCGUAUUCCGACAAAUGGUUAGAAGCCAUGAAAUCCGAGAUAGGAUCCGUGUAUCAGAACAAAGUAUGGACUUUGGUGGACUUGCCCGAUGAUCGGCAAGCCAUUGAGAUAGAUGGAUCUUUAAGAAGAAGACGGACGUGGGCGGUAAUGUUACCGUCUAUGAAGCUCGACUUGUGGGAAAGAGUCUUUUCACAAGUUCAAGGAGUUGACUACGAUGAGAAUUUCUCACCCAUAGCGAUGCUUAAGUCCGUCGGAAUCAUGUUAGCAUUAGCUGUAUUUUUCAAUUAUGAAAUCUUACAGAUGGAUGUCAAAACAAGUUUCUUACCAGUUUUCGUAAGAAAAGUUGUAUGUGAUACAAUAAAAGGUUUUGUCGAUCCUAAGGAUGCUAAAAGGUAUGCUGGCUCCAGCAAUCCUUCUAUGGACUAGAGCAAGCAUCUCGGAAUCGGAAUAUAUGUUUUGAUGGAGUGAUCAAAGCUUUUAGGUUUAUACAAUGUUUGAUCAAAACUUGUAUUUACAAGAAAGUGAGUGGGAGCACUACAACAUUUCUGAUAAGUAUAUGUGGAUUGGAAAUAAUGUAGAAUUUCUGGAAAGCAUAAACGGUUGUUUGAAGAGUGAUUUUCAAAGGAAGACCUGGAUAAAGCUGCUUACAUAUUGGGCAUCAAGAUCUAUAGAGAUAGAUCAAAACGCCUGAUGAUACUUUCAAAGAACGCACACCUUGACAUGUUUUUGAAGGAGUUCAAAAUAGAUCAGUCAAAGAAGGGGUUCUUACCUGAGUUGUAAGGUGUGAAGUUGAGUAAGACUCAAAGAUUGACCACAGCAGAAGAAAGAGGAAGGACAAAGGUCAUCCCCUAUGCUUUUGUCAUAGGCUCUAAACGGUAUGCCAUGCUGAGUACCGCACCGGAUGUGUGCCUUGCCACAUGUCUGGCAAGAGGGUACAAAGGUAAUCUAGGAGUGGAUCACCAGAUAGCAGUCAAAAUUAUCCUUAGAGGAAUAAGGAAAUGUUUCUCGAUUAUGGAGGUGAUAAAGAGUUCGACGUAAAGAGUUAUGUCGAUGCAAGCUUAACACCUAUCCGGAUAGCUCUGAGUAGAGAUACCGGAUACGUAUAAUGGAGCAACAAUUUGGAAUAGCUCCAAGUGGAACGUGGUAGCAGCAUCUACGAUAUGACAUAAAGUUUUGCGAAAUACAUAGGGAUCUAAAUAUGGCAAGACCCGUUGACUACAACCUCUCUCACAAGCAUAACAUGAUCAACCCCAGAACUCAUUGAGUGUUAAUCACAUAGUGAUGUGAACUAGAUUAUUCAGUCUAGUAAACUCUUUGGAUGUUGGUCACAUGGCGAUGUGACCUGUGAGUGUUAAUCACAUGGCAAUGUGAACUAGAUUAUUGACUCUAGUGCAAGUGGGAGGCUGUUGGAAAUAUGCCCUAGAGGCAAUAAUAAAUUAGUUAUUAUUACAUUAUAUUUCAUUGUUCAUGAUAAUCGUUUAUUAUCCACGCUAGAAUUGUAUUGAUAGGAAACUCAGAUACAUGUGUGGAUACAUAGACAACACCAUGUCCCUAGUAAGCCUCUAGUUGACUAGCUCGUUGAUCAAUAGAUGGUUACGAUUUCCUGACCAUGGACAUUGGAUGUCGUUGGUAACGGGAUCACAUCAUUAGGAGAAUGAUGCGAUGGACAAGACCCAAUCCUAAGCCUAGCACAAAGAUCGUGUAGUUUGUAUGCUAAAGCUUUUCUAAUGUCAAGUAUCAUUUCCUUAGACCAUGAGAUUGUGCAACUCCCGGAUACCGUAGGAAUGCUUUGGGUGUACCAAACGUCACAACGUAACUGGGUGGCUAUAAAGGUUUACUACAGGUAUCUCCGAAAGUGUCUGUUGGGUUGGCACGAAUCGAGACUGGGAUUUGUCACUCCGUGUAAACGGAGAGGUAUCUCUGGGCCCACUCGGUAGGACAUCAUCAUAAUGUGCACAAUGUGAUCAAGGAGUUGAUCACGGGAUGAUGUGUUACGGAACGAGUAAAGAGACUUGCCGGUAACGAGAUUGAACAAGGUAUCGGGAUACCGACGAUCGAAUCUCGGGCAAGUAUCGUACCGAUGGACAAAGGGAAUUGUAUACGGGAUUGAUUGAAUCCUUGACAUCGUGGUUCAUCCGAUGAGAUCAUCGUGGGGCAUGUGGGAGCCAACAUGGGUAUCCAGAUCCCGCUGUUGGUUAUUGACCAGAGAGUUGUCUCGGCCAUGUCUGCAUGACUCCCGAGCCCAUAGGAUCUACACACUUAAGGUUCGAUGAUGCUAGGGUUAUAGGGAAUAGAUAUACGUGGUUACCAAAUGUUGUUCGGAGUCACGGAUGAGAUCCCGGACGUCACGAGGAGUUCCGGAAUGGUCCGGAGGUAAAGAUUUAUAUAUGGGAAGUCAUCAUACGGUCACCGGAAUAAUUCGGGGGUUACCGGUAUUGUAUCGGGACCAUUGGAGGGGUUCCGGGGGGUCCACCGGGAGGGUCCACCUGCCCCGGAGGGCCCUAUGGGCUGUGUGUGGAGAGGGACCAGCCCCUUAGUGGGCUGGGCGCCUUCCCCCCUAGGGCCCAUGCGCCUAGGGUUUGGGGGAACCAUAAAGGGGGGGCGCCCCCUUGCCUUGGGGGGCAAGGCAACCCCCCUGGCCGCCGCCCCCUCCUCAGAUUGGAUCUGAGGGGGCCGGCCCCCUCUCCCUUGCCCCUAUAUAUAUGUGGGGCGUGGGAGGGCAGUCGCACCCUAGUUUUGGCGCAGCCCUCCCCCUCUCCCAAGUCCUCCUCCUCUCCCGCGGUGCUUGGCGAAGCCCUGCAGGAUUGCCACGCUCCUCCUUCACCACCACGUCAUCGUGCUGCUGCUGGAUGGAGUCUUCCCCAACCUCUCCUUCUCCCCUUGCUGUAUCAAGGCAUAGGAGAUGUCACCGGGCCGCACGUGUGUUGAACGCAGAGGCGCCGUGGUUCGGCGCUUAGAUCGGAAUCAACCGCGAUCUGAAUCGCUACGAGUACGACUCCUUCAUCCGCGUUCUUGCAACGCUUCCGCAUAGCGAUCUACAAGGGUAUGUAGAUGCACUCCCCUUCCUCUCGUUGCUAGAUUACUCCAUAGAUUGAUCUUGGUGAUGCGUAGAAAAUUUUAAAUUUCUGCUACGAUCCCCAACAGGUGCUACUUACGAUUAUUUAUGUAAACAAGAACAAAAGAGUUCGUAAAAGUUUUUCUUUAUCACUUUCAGUUUGUCAACUGAAUUGCUUGAGGACAAGCAAAUGUUUAAGAUUUGGGGAGUUGAUACGUCUUCGUCGUAACUACUUUUCUUAAUGCUUUUGCUCUUGUUUUGGACUCUAACUCGCAUGAUUUGAAUGAAACUAACUCGGACCAGCGCUAUUUCCAGUAGAACUACCAUGGUGUUGUUUUUGUGCAGAAAUAAAAGUUCUCGGAUUCGGACGUAACUCUUUGGAGGAUUAUUUUAGAAUAAAUAAAAAAAUACUAGAACCAAGAACCACCGGAGGGGGGGCCCUGGCUGACCACAAGACACCAGGGCACGCCACCCCCUCCAGGCGCGCCCUGGUGGGUUGUGGGGCCCUCGGGGCUCCACAGACCCUAAUUCCAGCACUAUAAAUUCCUAUUUUCAGAGAAAAAUAGGGGAGGAAGCUUCAUUGCUUUUCACGAUACGAAGCCGCCGCCACCUCCUGCGCUUCUAUUGGGAGGCCAGAUCUGGAGCCCGUUCGGGGCUCCGGAGAGGGGAAUCUUUGGUCUUCGUCAACCAACCCUCCUUCAUCACCAUUUCCAUGAUGCUCCCCACCGGGAGUGAGUAAUUCCUUCAUAGGCUCGCUGGUCGGUGAGGAGUUGGAUGAGAUUCAUCAUGUAAUCGAGUUAGUUUUGUUAGGGCUUGAUCCCUAGUAUCCACUCUGUUCUGAGAUUGAUGUUUUUAUGACUUUGCUAUGCUUAAUGCUUGUCACUAGGGCUCGAGUGCCAUGAUUUCAGAUCUGAACUGUUUAUGUUUUCACCAUUAUACCUUUGUUCUAGAACCGAUCUUGCAAGUUAUAUCCACCUGCUACGUGUUAUGAUCUGUAAACCCAAGGGUGACAGUAAUUGUGAUACUUUUCGGUGAUGAUCAUAGUUUGAGGAGUUCAUGUAUUCACUAUGUGUUAAUGCUUUGUCCGGUUCUCUAUUAAAAGGAGGCCUUAAUAUCCCUUAGUUUCCUUAUGGACCCCGCUGCCACAGGAGGGUAGGACAAAAGAUGUCAUGCAAGUUCUUUUCCAUAAGCACGUAUGACUAUUUACAGAAUACAUGCCUACAUUAUAUUUAUGAACUGGAGCUAGUUCUGUGUCGCCCUAGGUUAUGACUAUUAUAUGAUGAAUAUCAUCCAACGAAUGCACCGAUACAAUGCCUAUGAGUUUUCCACAUUUUAUUCUUGCUAAGUUACUAUCGCUAUUGCUACCGUUACAACUGCUACCAAGCUGUUACUGCUAUUAUUACCACUGCUAUCAAACUAUCACACUAUUGUGCUAUCAAUCACUUUGCUGCAUAUAUUAAAUCUCCAUGUGUGGUUGAAUUAACAACUCUACUGCUAAUACUUACAAAUAUUCUUUGGCUCCCCUUGUGUUGAAUCUAUAAAUUUGGGUUGAAUGCUCUACCCUCGAAAACUGUUGCGAUCCCCUGUACUUGUGGGUUAUCAGUAUAAUGCAAAAAAUGAAUGGGUUUGCAUUAGUACCUAAAGUAGUGAUUUGCUUUGGUAUACUAACGGAUCUCACGAGGUUUUGUUGAGUUGAUUGAAGUUUUCAAGUUUUGGGUGAGAUCACAAUGGAUGAAGGAAUAAGGAGUGGCAGGAGUCUAAGAUUGGGGAUGCCCAAGGCACCCCAAGGUAAUAUUCAAGGAAUCCCAAGCAACUAAGCUUGGGGAUGCCCCGGAAGGCAUCCCCUCUUUCUUCUACCAACAAACGGUAAUUUUACUUGGAGCUAUAUUUUUCUUCGUCACAUGAUAUGAGUUUUGCUUGGAGCAUCAUGUAUUAUAUGAGUCUUUGCUUUGCUUGCUUUUUAGUUUGUCACAAUCAUCUUUGUUGGACACACCUUUUUGAGAGGGACACACAUUUGUUCGUGAUUUGUUAGAAUACUCUAUGUGCAUCACUUAUAUCUUUUGAGCUAAGUAGUUGCUCUAGUGCUUCGCUUAUAUCUUUUUUUAGCACGGCGAUGAUUAUAUUUUAAAAGAAAUAGAUGAACCCUCAUGCUUCACUUAUAUCUUUUUAAGAGUUGAUAAUAGUAAUGGUAAUUUGCACAAGACAUGAAUUUGGUUCCAAAGUCAUGAAUAUUCAAGAAGGAUAUAAUAAAAACUUUCAUAUAGAUCAUUGGAUGUGAUAAGUUCGAUUCCUUGCAAUAGUUUUGUGAUAUGGAGAUGAUAAUAUGUUAGUUAUGCUGGUGAGUAAUUGUGCUUUAAUAAGAAUAUUGGUGUUAAGGUUUGUGAUUCCCUAUGCAUGCACAUAAAGUUAAUAGUUAUGCAACGAAGUUACAUCCUACUUAUAGUGCAUUAUUCAAUGUUAGUUAUGUUCAAUGCAUGUUUAUGACCGUUUUCAUUUUUUGGUUGGUCGCUUUUCAAUCUAUUUGCUAGCCUCCACUUGUACUAAGUGGGAAUACUGCUUUUGCAUCCAAUUCUUUAAACCUAAAACUUGUGCCAAAUGAGUCCACCAUACCUACCCCUAAACCCUAAACUCUAAACCCUAAACCCUAAACCCUCAUCUUCGACAAGUCCAUGCUCAUGAUCGCAAGGGCCACCUCCUUCGCUUUGGUGGCGGGAUUGGUGGCCUCGAUGUCGAGCUGCCUCUGCCUGGCCUUGACGUUGUCGGCCUCGAUGUCGAGCUGCCUUUGCCGGGCCGCCUCCUCCAUGUCGAGCUGCCUUUGCCGGGCCACCCCCUCCAUAUCGAGCUGCCUUUUCCGGGCCGCCUCCUCCAUGUCGAUCUUCCUCCUCUUGGCCGCCUCCUCCAUCUCAAGCUUCUUUCUUUGAAGGUCUAGGUAUUGCUUCAUUUCCUCGUCCUUGCUUUGCCGCUUCUUCUCGUCCCUCACAUCCUUUUGGGACAUCAUGCCAUGCAAAGUGUCAUGUAAUGCCAUGGAUGAGGCAUCAUGUAUGUCAUCAACCUUGGAGUUGGUCUUUUCCCCGGCCUCUUCAACGCCUCGCCAUCUCCACCUCCGGCGAACUUGGUCGUCUUCAGUCCUCUCUUCCUUUGUAGUUCAUGGUUGGUCCUUGAACUUAGGGCAAUUGUUGAUGAUCGUCCAACAAUGCGUAAGAGUGAAUGGCAUGUCAUUGUGCCGGGCCUUGAAUGCCUCCAAAGAUGGAAAUGCCUACACCACAUGAUCAACAACAAGUGAGCAUGCAAGCCAAAGUCUCAUGGCCGUAGCAAGGAAAGGGCUAAUAAGAGGAGAGCAUACCAUGUCUGUUGGGUUUCGUAGUAAUUUCAAAAAAUUUCCUACGCGCACACAGGAUCAUGUGAUGCAUAGCAACGAGAGGAGAGUGUUGUCUACGUACCCAACGCAGACCGACUGCGGAAGCGAUGACACGACGUAGAGGAAGUAGUCGUACGUCUUCACGAUCCAACCGAUCAAGCACCGAAACUACGGCACCUCCGAGUUCGAGCACACGUUCAGCUCGAUGACGAUCCCCGGACUCCGAUCCAGCAAAGUGUCGGGGAAGAGUUUUGUCAGCACGACGGCGUGGUGACGAUCUUGAUGAACUACAGCAGCAGGGCUUCGCCUAAACUCCGCUACAGUAUUAUCGAGGAAUAUGGUGGCAGGGGGCACCGCACAUGGCUAAGGAAUCGAUCACGUGGAUCAACUUGUGUCAACUUGUGUGUUUAGAGGUGUCCCUGCCUCCGUAUAUAAAGGAGUAGAGGGGGGGAGGCUGGCCGGCCAUAGAGGGAGGCGCAGGAGAGUCCUACUCCCUCUGGGAGUAGGAUUCCUCCCCCCAAUCCUAGUCCAACUAGGAUUCCUCGGAGGGGAAGGGAGAGAGGGGGGCCGGCCACCUUCUCCUAGUCCUAAUAGGACUAGGGGAGGGGGAAGAGGCGCAGCCACCUUGGGCUGCCCCUUUCUCCUUUCCACUAAGGCCCAUGAAGGCCCAUAUGGCUCCCGGGGGGUUCGGGUAACCUCCCGGUAACCCGGUAAAAUCCCGAUUUCACCCGGAACACUUCCGAUGUCCAAACAUAGACUUCCAAUAUAUCAAUCUUUAUGUCUCGACCAUUUCGAGACUCCUCGUCAUGUCCGUGAUCACAUCCGGGACUCCGAACAACCUUCGGUACAUCAAAAUGCAUAAACUCAUAAUAUAACUGUCAUCGUAACCUUAAGCGUGCGGACCCUACGGGUUCGAGAACAAUGUAGACAUGACCAAGACACGUCUCUGGUCAAUAACCAAUAGCGGGACCUGGAUGCCCAUAUUGGCUCCUACAUAUUCUACGAAGAUCUUUAUCGGUCAGACCGCAUAACAACAUACGUUGUUCCCUUUGUCAUCGGUAUGUUACUUGCCCGAGAUUCGAUCGUCGGUAUCCAAUACCUAGUUCAAUCUCGUUACCGGCAAGUCUCUUUACUCGUUCCGUAAUACAUCAUCUCACAACUAACAUAUUAGUUGUAAUGCUUGCAAGGCUUAUGUGAUGUGUAUUACAGAGAGGGCCCAGAGAUACCUCUCCGACAAUCGGAGUGACAAAUCCUAAUCUCGAAAUACGCCAACCCAACAUCGACCAUUGGAGACACCUGUAGUACUCCUUUAUAAUCACCCAGUUACGUUGUGACGUUUGGUAGUACCCAAAGUGUUCCUCCGGUAAACGGGAGUUGCAUAAUCUCAUAGUCAUAGGAACAUGUAUAAGUCAUGAAGAAAGCAAUAGCAACAUACUAAACGAUCGGGUGCUAAGCUAAUGGAGUGGGUCAUGUCAAUCAGAUCAUUCUACUAAUGAUGUGACCUCGUUAAUCAAAUAACAACUCAUUGUUCAUGGUUAGGAAACAUAACCAUCUUUGAUUAACGAGCUAGUCAAGUAGAGGCAUACUAGUGACACUCUGUUUGUCUAUGUAUUCACACAUGUAUUAUGUUUCCGGUAAAUACAAUUCUAGCAUGAAUAAUAAACAUUUAUCAUGAUUAUAAGGAAAUAAAUAAUAACUUUAUUAUUGCCUCUAGGGCAUAUUUCCUUCAGUCUCCCACUUGCACUAGAGUCAAUAAUCUAGUUCACAUCGUCAUGUGAUUUAACACCAAUAUUCAUAUCUGUAUAUGAUUAACACCCAUAGUUCACAUCAUCAUGUGACCAACACCCAAAGGGUUUACUGGAGUCAAUAAUCUAGUUCACAUCGCUAUGUGAUUAACAUCCAAAGAGUACUAAGGUGUGAUCAUGUUUUGCUCGUGAGAGAAUCUUAGUCAACGGGUCUGCCACAUUCAGAUCCUCAUGUAUUUUGCAAAUUUCUAUGUCAACAAUGCUCUGCAUGGAGCUACUCUAGCUAAUUGCUCCCACUUUCAAUAUGUAUCCAGGUUGAGACUUAGUGUCAUCUGGAUCAGUGUAAAAGUUUGCACUGAUGUAACUUUUACAACAAACUCUUUUAUCACCUCCAUAAUCGAGAAACAUCUCCUUAGUCCUUACUAAGGAUAUUCUUGACCAAUGUCCAGUGAUCUACUCCUAGAUCACUAUUGUACUCUCUUGCCAAAUUCAGAGCAAGGUAUACAAUAGGUCUGGUACAUAGCAUAGCAUACUUUAUAGAACCUAUGACUGAGGCACAGGGAAUGACUUUUCAUUCUCUUUCUUUUUUCUGCUGUGGUCGGGAUUUGAGUCUUACUCAAUUUCAUACUUUUGCAACACAGGCAAGAACUCUUUCUUUGACUGUUCCAUUUUGAACUAUUUCAAAAUCUUGCCAAGGUAUGUUCUCAUUGAAAAUCUUAUCAAGCGUCUUGAUCUAUCUCAAUAGAUCUUGAUGCUCAAUAUGUAAGCAGCUUCACCAAGGUCUUUCUUUGAAAAACUUUUAUUCAAGUAUCCUUUCAUGCUUUGCAGAAUAAUUCUACAUUAUUUCUGAUCAACAAUAUGUCAUUCACAUAUACUUAUCAGAAAUGUUGUAGUGCUCCCACUCACUUUCUUGUAAAUACAGGCUUCUCAAAAAGUCUGUAUAAAACCAUAUGCUUUGAUCAACUCAUCAAAGCGUAUAUUCCAACUCCGAGAGGCUUGCACCAGUCCAUAGAUGGAUCGUUGGAGCUUGCACAUUUUGUUAGUACCUUUAGGACUGACAAAACCUUCUGGUUGCAUCUUAUACAACUCUUCUUUAAUAAAUCCAUUAAGGAAUGCAGUUUUGUUUAUCCAUUUGCCAGAUUUCAUAAAAUGCGGCAAUUGCUAACAUGAUUCGGACAGACUAAAGCAUAGAUACGAGUGAGAAAAACUCAUCGUAGUCAACACCUUGAACUUGUCGAAAACCUUUUUUGCGACAAUUCUAGCUUUGUAGAUAGUAACACUACUAUCAGCGUCCGUCUUCCUCUUGAAGAUCCAUUUAUUCUCAAUUGCUUGCUGAUCAUCGGGCAAGUCAACCAAAGUCCAAACUUUGUUCUCAUACAUGGAUCAUAUCUCAGAUUUCAUGGCCUCAAACCAUUUCGCGGAAUCUGGGCUCAUCAUUGCUUCCUCAUAGUUCGUAGGUUCAUCGUGAUCUAGUAGCAUGACUUCCAGAACAGGAUUUCCGUACCACUCUGGCGCGGAUCUUACUCUGGUUGAUCUACGUGGUUCAGUAGUAUCUUGAUCUGAAGUUUCAUGACCAUUAUCAUUGGCUUCCUCACUAACCGGUGUAGGUGUCACUGAAACAGUUUUCUGUGAUGAACUACUCUCCAGUAAGGGAGCAGGUACAGUUACCUCGUCAAGUUCUACUUUCCUCCCACUCACUUCUUUCGAGAGAAACUCCUUCUCCAGAAAGUUUCCGAAUUUAGCAACAAAAGUCUUGCCUUCGGAUCUGUGAUAGAAGGUGUAUCCAAUAGUUUCCUUUGGAUAUCCUAUGAAGACGCACUUCUCCGAUUUGAGUUUGAGCUUAUCAGGAUGAAACUUUUCAUAUAAGCAUCGCAACCCCAAAUUUAAGAAACGACAGCUUAGGUUUCUUGCCAAACCAUAGUUUACAUGGUGUCGUCUCAACGGAUUUAGAUGGUGCCCUAUUUAACGUGAAUGCAGCUGUCUCUAAUGCAUAACCCCAAAACGAUAGUGGUAGAUCGGUAAGACACAUCAUAGAUCGCACCAUAUCUAAUAAAGUACGGUUAUGACGUUCGGACACACCAUUACAUUGUGGUGUUCUAGGUGGCAUGAGUAGUGAAACUAUUUCACAUUGUUUUUAACUGAAGGCCAAACUCGUAACUCAAAUACUCUUCUCUACGAUCAGAUCGUAGAAACUUUAUUUUCUUGUUACAAUGAUUUUUCACUUCACUCUGAAAUUCUUUGAACUUUUCAAAUGUUUCAGACUUAUGUUUCAUUAAGUAGAUAUACUCAUAUCUGCUCAAAUCAUCUGUGAAGAUCAGAAAAUAAUGAUACCUGUCGCGAGCCUCAAUAUUCAUCGGACCACAUACAUCAGUAUGUAUGUUUUUCAACAAAUCUAUUGCUCGCUCCAUUGUUCCGAAGAACAGAGUCUUAGUCAUCUUGCCCAUGAGGCAUGGUUCGCAAGCAUCAACUGAUUCAUAAUCAAGUGAUUCAAAAAGCCCAUCAGUAUGGAGUUUCUUCAUGCGCUUUACACCAAUAUAACCUAAACGGCAGUGCUACAAACAAGUUGCACUUAUCAUUAUUAACUUUGCAUCUUUUGGUUUCAAUAUUAUGAUUAUGUGUAUCACUAUGAUCGAGAUCCAACGAACUAUUUUCAUUGGGUGUGUAACCAUAUAAGGUUUCAUUCAUGUAAACAGAACAACAAUUUAUUCUCUUACUUAAAUGAAUAACCGUAUUACAAUAAACAUGAUCAAAUCAUAUUCAUGCUCAACGCAAACACCAAAUAACACUUAUUUAGGUUCAACACUAAUCCCGAAAGUAUAGGGAGUGUGUGACGAUGAUCAUAUCAAUCUUGGAACCACUUCCAACACACAUCGUCACUUCACCCUUAACUAGUCUCUGUUUAUUCUGCAACUCCCGUUUCGAGUUACUAAUCUUAGCAACUGAACUAGUAUCAAAUACUGAGGGUUUGCGAUAAACACUAGUAAAGUAUACAUCAAUAACAUGUAUAUCAAAUAUACUUAUGUUCACUUUGCCAUCCUUCUUAUCCGCCAAUCACUUGGGGUAGAUCCGCUUCCAGUGACCAGUCCCUUUGCAGUAGAAACACUUAGUCUCAGGCUUAGGAUCAGACUUGGGUUUCUUCACUUGAGCAGCAACUUGCUUGCUGUUCUUCUUGAAGUUCCCCUUCUUCCUUCUGCCCCUUUUCUUGAAACUAGUGGUCUUGUCUACCAUCAACACUUUGAUGUUUUUCUCGAUUUCUACCUUCGUNNNNNNNNNNNNNNNNNNNNNNNNNNNNNNNNNNNNNNNNNNNNNNNNNNNNNNNNNNNNNNNNNNNNNNNNNNNNNNNNNNNNNNNNNNNNNNNNNNNNNNNNNNNNNNNNNNNNNNNNNNNNNNNNNNNNNNNNNNNNNNNNNNNNNNNNNNNNNNNNNNNNNNNNNNNNNNNNNNNNNNNNNNNNNNNNNNNNNNNNNNNNNNNNNNNNNNNNNNNNNNNNNNNNNNNNNNNNNNNNNNNNNNNNNNNNNNNNNNNNNNNNNNNNNNNNNNNNNNNNNNNNNNNNNNNNNNNNNNNNNNNNNNNNNNNNNNNNNNNNNNNNNNNNNNNNNNNNNNNNNNNNNNNNNNNNNNNNNNNNNNNNNNNNNNNNNNNNNNNNNNNNNNNNNNNNNNNNNNNNNNNNNNNNNNNNNNNNNNNNNNNNNNNNNNNNNNNNNNNNNNNNNNNNNNNNNNNNNNNNNNNNNNNNNNNNNNNNNNNNNNNNNNNNNNNNNNNNNNNNNNNNNNNNNNNNNNNNNNNNNNNNNNNNNNNNNNNNNNNNNNNNNNNNNNNNNNNNNNNNNNNNNNNNNNNNNNNNNNNNNNNNNNNNNNNNNNNNNNNNNNNNNNNNNNNNNNNNNNNNNNNNNNNNNNNNNNNNNNNNNNNNNNNNNNNNNNNNNNNNNNNNNNNNNNNNNNNNNNNNNNNNNNAAGCAUGGUGCACUUAAACUAUCAAGUAGUCAUCAUAUUGAGCUAGCCAAACGUUCAUAACGUCUGCAUUUGCUCCUGCAAUAGGUCCGUCACCUAGCGGUGCAUUAAGGACAUAAUUCUUCUGUGCAGCAAUGAGGAUUUAACCUCAGAUCACGGAUCAAAUCCGCAACAUUGCUACUAACAAUUUUCAACACAAUUUUCUCUAGGAACAUAUCAAAAUAAACACAGGGAAGCAACAACGCGAGCUAUUGAUCUACAACAUGAUUUGCAAAAUACUACCAGGACUAAGUUCAUGAUAAAUUUAAGUUCAAUUUAAUCAUAUUACUAAAGAACUCCCACUUAGAUAGACAUCCCUCUAAUCCUCUAAGUGAUCACGUGAUCCAAAUCAACUAAACCAUGUCCGAUCAUCACGUGAGAUGGAGUAGUUUCAUCGGUGAACAUCAUUAUGUUGAUCAUAUCUACUAUAUGAUUCACGCUCGACCUUUCGGUCUCCGUGUUCCGAGGCCAUAUCUGCAUAUGCUAGGCUCAUCAAGUUUAACCUGAGUAUUCUGCGUGCGCAACUGUUUUGCACCCGUUGUAUUUGAACGUAGAGCCUAUCACACCCGAUCAUCACGUGGUGUCUCAGCACGAAGAACUUUCGCAACGGUGCAUACUCAGGGAGAACACUUCUUGAUAAUUUAGUGAGAGAUCAUCUUAUAAUGCUACCGUCAAUCAAAGCAAGAUAAGAUGCAUAAAAAGAUAAACAUCACAUGCAAUCAAUAUAAGUGAUAUGAUAUGGUCAUCAUCAUCUUGUGCUUGUGAUCUCCAUCUCCGAAGCACCGUCAUGAUCACCAUCGUCACCGGCGCGACACCUUGAUCUCCAUCGUAGCAUCGUUGUCGUCUCGCCAAUCUUAUGCUUCCACGACUAUCACUACCGUUUAGUAAUAAAGUAAAGCAUUACAUCGCGAUUGCAUUGCAUACAAUAAAGCGACAAUCAUAUGGCUCCUGCCAGUUGCCGAUAACUCGGUUACAAAACAUGAUCAUCUCAUACAAUAAAAUUCAGCAUCAUCCUUUGACCAUAUCACAUCACAACAUGCCCUGCAAAAACAAGUUAGACGUCCUCUACUUUGUUGUUGCUUGUUUUACGUGGCUGCUACGGGCUUAAGUAAGAACCAAUCUCACCUACGCAUCAAAACCACAACGAUAGUUUGUCAAAUAGACUCCGUUUUAACCUUCGCAAGGACCGGGCGUAGCCAUACUUGGUUCAACUAAAGUUGGAGAGGCAGUCGCCCGCAAGCCAUCUCUGUGCAAAGCACGUCGAGGGAACCGGUCUCGCGUAAGCGUACGCGUAAGGUUGGUCCGGGUCGUCUCGUCCAACAAUACUGCCGAACCAAAGUAUGACAUGCUGGUAGGCAGUAUGACUUGUAUCGUCCACAACUUACUUGUGUUCUACUCGUGCAUAUAACAUCAACAUCAAUAACCUAGGCUCGGAUGCCACUGUUGGGUUUCGUAGUAAUUUCAAAAAAUUUCCUACGCGCACACAGGAUCAUGUGAUGCAUAGCAACGAGAGGAGAGUGUUGUCUACGUACCCAACGCAGACCGACUGCGGAAGCGAUGACACGACGUAGAGGAAGUAGUCGUACGUCUUCACGAUCCAACCGAUCAAGCACCGAAACUAUGGCACCUCCGAGUUCGAGCACACGUUCAGCUCGAUGACGAUCCCCGGACUCCGAUCCAGCAAAGUGUCGGGGAAGAGUUUUGUCAGCACGACGGCGUGGUGACGAUCUUGAUGAACUACAGCAGCAGGGCUUCGCCUAAACUCCGCUACAGUAUUAUCGAGGAAUAUGGUGGCAGGGGGCACCGCACACGGCUAAGGAAUCGAUCACGUGGAUCAACUUGUGUCAACUUGUGUGUUUAGAGGUGUCCCUGCCUCCGUAUAUAAAGGAGUAGAGGGGGGAGGCUGGCCGGCCAUAGAGGGAGGCGCAGGAGAGUCCUACUCCCUCUGGGAGUAGGAUUCCUCCCCCCAAUCCUAGUCCAACUAGGAUUCCUCGGAGGGGAAGGGAGAGAGGGGGGCCGGCCACCUUCUCCUAGUCCUAAUAGGACUAGGGGAGGGGGAAGAGGCGCAGCCACCUUGGGCUGCCCCUUUCUCGUUUCCACUAAGGCCCAUGAAGGCCCAUAUGGCUCCCGGGGGGUUCGGGUAACCUCCCGGUAACCCGGUAAAAUCCCGAUUUCACCCGGAACACUUCCGAUGUCCAAACAUAGACUUCCAAUAUAUCAAUCUUUAUGUCUCGACCAUUUCGAGACUCCUCGUCAUGUCCGUGAUCACAUCCGGGACUCCAAACAACCUUCGGUACAUCAAAAUGCAUAAACUCAUAAUAUAACUGUCAUCGUAACCUUAAGCGUGCGGACCCUACGGGUUCGAGAACAAUGUAGACAUGACCGAGACACGUCUCUGGUCAAUAACCAAUAGCGGGACCUGGAUGCCCAUAUUGGCUCCUACAUAUUCUACGAAGAUCUUUAUCGGUCAGACCGCAUAACAACAUACGUUGUUCCCUUUGUCAUCGGUAUGUUACUUGCCCGAGAUUCGAUCGUCGGUAUCCAAUACCUAGUUCAAUCUCGUUACCGGCAAGUCUCUUUACUCGUUCCGUAAUACAUCAUCUCACAACUAACAUAUUAGUUGCAAUGCUUGCAAGGCUUAUGUGAUGUGUAUUACCGAGAGGGCCCAGAGAUACAUCUCCGACAAUCGGAGUGACAAAUCCUAAUCUCGAAAUACGCCAACCCAACAUCGACCAUUGGAGACACCUGUAGUACUCCUUUAUAAUCACCCAGUUACGUUGUGACGUUUGGUAGUACCCAAAGUGUUCCUCCGGUAAACGGGAGUUGCAUAAUCUCAUAGUCAUAGGAACAUGUAUAAGUCAUGAAGAAAGCAAUAGCAACAUACUAAACGAUCGGGUGCUAAGCUAAUGGAAUGGGUCAUGUCAAUCAGAUCAUUCUACUAAUGAUGUGACCUCGUUAAUCAAAUAACAACUCAUUGUUCAUGGUUAGGAAACAUAACCAUCUUUGAUUAACGAGCUAGUCAAGUAGAGGCAUACUAGUGACACUCUGUUUGUCUAUGUAUUCACACAUGUAUUAUGUUUCCGGUAAAUACAAUUCUAGCAUGAAUAAUAAACAUUUAUCAUGAUUAUAAGGAAAUAAAUAAUAACUUUAUUAUUGCCUCUAGGGCAUAUUUCCUUCAAUGUCCCCAACACCGAGACCACUCACGGGUCGUGCUUCAACGCUCUCAAAUGCGGCGCAAUACUUGUUGCACUCUUGUUGGAUGAACAACCAUCUCUUUUGAAUCGAGCCGAUGCCACGGUUGCUUGUAAUUUGAUAGGGGUCAAACAUCUUCCUUUCGAUUAGAUGGCGACUCCCCCACCUCCACCCACCUCAGGCGAUUCCCAUGGCGAUUCUAGGGUUUAACCCUACGAUCUCCUCCCAACGCCCCCAAUGGAUGGCCUCCUCCACUGGGAUUUCUCCCCCGGCCUCAAGGUGGAGGCACAGGUGCGUGCAAGGUUUGGAUCUACGGUCCACUUCCUCCCCAACCCCGGCUCCAAGGAAUUCUUCCUUGAAGUUUCCUUCUCCUCGGCUUCCUUUCCCCUCUCGGUGGAUUCGGUGGGUUUGGCCCUUCAGUCAUGUAUUGGAGGUCUUGCGGCUGGUUUCAAUGUUUCGCGACUGGGUGAUCGACAUUUUCGAUUUUCAGUGGCCUCAAAUCGUGUGGGGCAUUUCAUAUUUGGGUUAAGAUACCGUAUUUGGCCAGACUUUAUCUGUCAUUUUCAUCUUCAUCGAUCUGGGAACUCACAUCCACGGCUCCCCUCAUGGCACGCUGAUUCUGAGCUAACUGGUUUGGCUUCCUCACCUGGUCCGGCGAUUAAAUCUAAAUGGCUUUCUAACCAGAGUAAAUUACCAUUGGAUCCUGCGUCAUUGCCAGUACUGCAAAAAUUGGGUUUCACUCCACCGCCGACGGACUUGCAUUCCGGCGAGCCUUCUGAUUGGAUCUCCUUUGGUAGUUUUUCGUCUCCGGUUUCUUCAGAUUCUUUUCGGAUUGGUUCCAUACCUUUACCUAUUGUUCCCGAUAUUCCUGGAAGGUUGCCAUCUUUUCAGGGGGUAGGAUAUAUUGUGGGCUUAUGGGAUUCUAUUCCGGAUGAGAAACUUUUUUCUGUUCUGGAUUGCUGGCAGGCCGGAUAUGAUAAUGAUAAUGUUAAGCUUCUGGUGCAAAUUUCGUCAGUCCCCACCAAGGAAUACAUUUACAAAAGGCUUUUGCAUUGUUCUCUCUGUGAUCGUCUUGGCCAUGUUGAUGAUGUUUGCACUAGGGUUUUCUGUCAGCGCUGUGGAGAUGACUCUGGCGCCUGCGCCUGCUUGACUACACGUACUGAUGAUCAUAAGCAUGUGCCAUGCAAAGUGGGCCCGGACCCUUUGGGCUUUCCGUGUAAUGCAUGUUCUGCGGUUGACCACAUGACUAGGCUUUGUCCGGGGCUUCGUCGCUGUUCACUCUGCUUUCGACUGGGCCACAAGUCACGCAAGCUUAUGACUUGUGCUUUUCUCCCUCGCUGGGCUUGGAAAAUAAAAAUCUAACACAAUCAGAGAGGAUCUUGCAUCGGGCUGCUGCGGAUGAACCUGCGGUUGGUAAAUCUGUGGCUGUUGGUAUGGCCCGUGUUGUUAGGGAUCCGCAAGGGGGUUGCAUAUGGAAACAGAAACAGAUAAUCCCGCACCACGUGGAUGUGGCUAACCCCCAUUGCUUGACGAUACGCCUACCCGGUCAGGGUGUAGUCAAUUCUGCCUGCCAAAAACCCCAAUCGGGUGAAACGACGCUCUCCUCGAGUUCUACACCCACGCCCUCACCAUCGACCGUGAGCAAGAAUCCACCACCUCCUACUCCGGCGAAAUCUCUCAAGCCACCGCAGCUCUCGGCUCCAUCUGCCAUGGCGAACUUCCCCAUGAGCCCGUUUGCCUUCGCUCCGGAUGGAUCCACCUUCGAUCGCGGGCCUGCUCACCGGGUCCAACGUCAAGUUAUGGUGGUGGAUGAUCCGCCUCUAAAUCACGAUAGGUACGCCAUUGUUUCCGUCCACCCUCCGGUCCCUGAUCAUCAGAAGGAGUUCUGGCUAGCUGAGGUCUGUCGCAUUAUCGUUGGAGAUUUAGAGUAUGAACUGCUAGAUGAUUUUGUUUACCCACUGGGGAUCGGGUGUGUUGUGUUUGCGGAUAUGGAGAGUAGGGAUGCUGCCAUUAGAGAAGGACCACAUGCUUUGACCGAUGAUUCCACUUUCUCCCUAGUUCCACAUGACGAGAGUAUCAAUAUGCGCAUGCCUGCCUUUGAAUAUGAAGUUUGGGUCAUGUUUCUCGCUUUUCCAAUGGACUAUCAAACUGAGCAUUAUGUCCAUAAGGCUGUCUCACACUUUGGGAAGAUGCUUGCUUGGCCCCGUCCGGGACAGAACAAGGCUAGAAUCCUUGUUAAAUGUCAUAUCAAGGAUGUUGCUGAGGUGCCGCAUAGUCUUGUGAUUACCAGGGUUGGUUUACUGCCAGGUCUUGCUCGCUCGUGGUCGGUGCCUGUCUAUGUUCUGAAUGGUAGAAACACUAUUCCAAACUUGGUUGGUAAUGAAGAUGUUCCCCUGCUUUUGAAUGCAUCUCCACAUCCAUAUCAGCUUCCUUACUACACCCUCAUGCAGCAAGCACGAAUUGAUGAGAUGGCGGCUCAAGAUGCUUUGAAUGAGGCUACCUGGAAUGCCCUGGAACCUGCUCAGGAUGUUCAGGAAAAUGGGUGGGGCGUGUGGCCUGUGAUCCCUCCACCUUACACUGGGUUUAGUUUCAGGACCUUCUUUCAGUAUGAUGGUCCGUCUCUCCUGGAUGGUGUGGUUCCGGAGCAUAAUGUGCAGGAUAAUCUAUCUGACAUUUGGUCAUCUGAUUCGAAGUUUUAGGCAAUGGAAGCUUUGGCUGAUGGAUUUGUGAAUGGCAACCAUGCAGCCAGGUUGGAGUUCGUCAGGGCUGGGGGAAGUUCUGUUUUUCUUCAGGUUCCAGUUGAUCAUGAGUUCUUGCUUUGGAUUGGGGGUAUGCUCAAGCGUAUAUAUACACCAGCUAUCACCCUUCAACAUACUUCUCCUAUGAUGUUACCCCUAAACCCUUUUCAGAGUAUUCAAAAUCAUCUUAAUGCCGCUGCUGCAGCUUGGAUUGAGUGUAUGGUGCCUGAACCUGACAUUUUCUCAAGGAUCUUUGCUACUGCAAUUCAGUGGGGGACAAUUGUUGUUCCAUCGUCUAUGCUAUCUCCUGAACCCAGGGCUCGGUUGAUUGCUGCGACUUGGAAUUUGCCUGAACACUCUCCUGGCCUCAAGGCGGUCACGCAGCUCAUCCCGGUAGAGGUAGAAUCUCUGAUAGUGCCUUCAUCAGACCAGCCUACUGCACUUCAGGUGCUUGCAUCCUCUUCUGUGGCUACUCAACACCGCAAUGUGUUAGUGCCUUUGGACACCACUACUGUCAGACGGAGCAAUCGAUCCAACAAGUAUGACGGUUUCAAAAUCAACCAUGAUACAGACACAAAGCGUUCCAAGUCACGGGUGAAACCACGUGAGAUUCCUUUUGUCAAUGUUGUUUCUUUGGCUGCUGCUCCUGUGCAGGUGCCCAAUGCUGCCUGCCCCCCGCCAACUCCGGUCGAGGAUCUUCAAUGGAUGGGAAGCAAUUGUGGAAUUGCCCCUGAAGCCCUCUCCCGUGAGAAGCUACUGGAUGACCAACGCUCGUCGGGAGCGGAUGAAGACUGAAGUCUUCCCUUCCGAUGAAUAAAUCGUGGAAUGUGCUCUCGUGGAACAUCAGAGGCAUAAACUCUGAUGCAAAACUUUUGGCUAUUAGGAAUGCGAUCGAUACUAGCGGUUGUUCUGUGCUAUGUAUCCAGGAAACUAAACGUGAAUCCUUCGAUCUUGCCUUUAUUAAGACUUUCUGCCCUAAGCGCUUCGAUAAAUUUGUUUUUGCGCCAUCAGUGGGUGCCUCUGGUGGCAUCAUUGUCAUUUGGAAUAGUACUGUGUUUACGGGCACGUCUUGGUUUGUGGAUUCUUUUGCCAUUGGGAUUUCUUUUGUGGCCACGCAGUCGAAUGACUCGUGGAAGCUGGUUAAUGUCUAUGGCCCCUGCUCUGGUCAGCGUAGAGUGGAUUUUACAAACUGGCUUUUUGAUUUGAAUAUCCCUGACGAUGAAAAUUGGCUAAUUCUUGGCGACUUCAACUUUAUUCGAUCCACGAAUAACAGAAACAAACCUGGGGGUGAUGCUGCGGACAUGUUGUUAUUUAACGAGCUCAUCCGUGCACAAUCACUCAUGGAAUUACCUGUUAAAGGCCGAGCAUUUACCUGGAGUAAUAUGCAGGAUGAUCCUCUGCUCGAACAGUUGGAUUGGUUCUUCUCAUCCUCUUGUUGGACCACCUCCUAUCCAAACACAAUGGUCCUGCCUCUGGGAAAACCAGUGUCCGAUCACAUUCCGUGCGUGGUCACAAUUGAAUCAAGUGUCCCCCGAUCCAAGCUUUUCCGGUUUGAGAAUUUCUGGACUAAUCAUGAUGGGUUCAUGGAGGUUGUUGCUAGCUCAUGGUCUAAAACAUGUCACGCACCCAAUGCCGCGGCGCGAAUAUGUAAAAAACUAAAAAACUUGAGAUAUAAUCUCAAGCGAUGGAGCAAGGGUGUCUCGAAACUCAAAGUUCUGAUUCAAAACAGUAAUGAGACUCUGGCCAUCAUGGACACCCUUGAGGACAAACGACCUUUAUAUGUCCAGGAGUCAAACUUCAGGGAGAUAUUGAAAACCCACUUACAGGCCCUGCUCAAAUACCAGAAUGAGUACUGGCGAAAGAGAUGUACUAUUAGGUAUUUUCGCUUUGCUGACGAAAAUACUAAGCUCUGUCAGUCAUUGGCCACGGAGAGGUAUAGGCACAAUGCCAUUGCCAUGCUUAGAGUUGGGGAGGUCGAAAUUCAUGAUCAUGCUGGCAAAGAGGGGGUCCUGUUCAAUACAUACAAGGAUCGUUUGGGUUCUUCUAAACCUACCAGCAUGAAAUUUGAUCUCUCUAGGAUCAUCCGCAGGAUUGAUGGGCUGGACCAACUGAGUGCGCCCUUCUCUACUGAUGAAAUAGAUGCUGUUGUUAAGGAAAUGCCGAAUGACAGAGCCCCCGGCCUGGAUGGUUUUAAUGGUUGCUUUCUUAAGAAGUGCUGGCAAAUCAUCAAGUCAGAUUUCUAUGACCUCUGUCACGCUUUCCAUGCUGGGGGACUUGACAUCACUAGCAUUAGUGAGGGAUAUAUCACCCUGAUUCCAAAAAUAUCCUCUCCGGAAACGGCUAAUGAUUUCAGACCAAUUACCUUACUAAAUUGUUGUCUAAAAAUCAUUACAAAGAUCUUGGCGAACCGGCUGCAGAAAGUCAUUCUAAACAUCAUACACAGGAACCAAUAUGGAUUUAUCAAAGGUAGGACCAUCUAGGAUUGUCUCGCGUGGUCGUACGAAUAUAUUCAUCAAUGCCACUCGUCUGGGAGAGAGAUUGUAUUACUUAAGCUUGAUUUUGCCAAGGCCUUUGAUACGAUUGAACAUGCCCCCAUGCUGGAUAUUAUGAAACACAUGGGUUUUGAUGAUAGGUGGCUAGGCUGGAUGGAAACGAUCUUUGGCUCGGGAGUUUCGUCAGUUCUCUUAAAUGGUGUUCCUGGUCGGAAAUUCAAAUGCAAGUGUGGCGUGAGACAGGGUGACCCUCUCUCACCAAUGAUCUUUGUCCUUGCGGCUGAUCUACUCCAAGCUGCCAUCAAUGACGCGUACACUUAGGGUUUGCUGGAGCUUCCUAUUCCUCGUGAAAAUGCGGGUGACUUCCCGGUGGUGCAAUACGCUGACGACACAAUCCUGGUUAUGCAAGCUUGUCCCACACAGGUCGCCCGCAUGAAACUUAUUUUGGAGGAUUAUGCGUCCUCGGUGGGACUCAAGAUCAACUUCCAUAAAUCGACCCUCAUACCCAUUAAUGACGAUCACCAGCAUGCUAGUGGGUUGGCAGGGGUGUUUGGCUGCUCUGUUGGCACCCUGCCGUUCACUUACCUUGGUCUCCCCAUGGGGACGACUAGGCCAAGUGUUCUCGAUCUCAUGCCAUUGGUACACUCGGUUGAGAGGAAAGCAUCCAGUGCCCUAUCACUGAUGUCGUCGGGGGCCAAAUUGACGCUGGUCAAUUCGGUGAUCACCUCCAUGCUGAUCUAUGCAAUGUGCACGAUCAAGCUGCACCCUAAAGUGGUUGAGCACCUUGACAAACUACGCCGCUACUGCCUCUGGGCAAAAAAUUCUGACGAUGGGAUCAAAUCCAACUCCCUUGCUGCCUGGGAGCUUAUCUGUCGACCCAAACGAUGUGGUGGCCUCGGUGUUAUUGAUAUCAAGAUACAAAAUGCCGUGCUUCUCCUAAAGUACUUAUUCAAGUUCUACAAUCGUGAGGAUGUGCCCUGGGUUCAGCUAGUCUGGGAGGCGUACUACCCGAACAAGGCGCCGCACGCCACUGAGCUAAUGGGUUCCUUCUGGUGGAAAGACGUAAUGCAGCUCAAUGGAACCUUCCGUGGGGUCGCCGGGGUCAUCCCCGGGGAUGGAUGCAGCUCUUUGUUUUGGAAAGAUGUCUGGUUUAGUGACACUGGCUCUGCACUGAUGGACACGCAUCCGCGAGCCUUCUCUUAUGCUCUGAACGAGGAUGACUCCGUUGCUAGGGUUCUCAGGACCACUGAUCCAGCCAUGAUCUUCAGUCUGCCUCUUUCGGCCCAGACUAGGGAGGAGAUAAGAGAGAUACAGCAAGGGUCCUCGCAUGUUUGUCUGGAAUACGGUUCGCCCGACGUUUGGGUCUGUGAACUAGGACAUUAUUCGUCAAAGAAGUACUACAACCACUGUUUCAAGCAGGUGAAAGCUGAUGAGGCCUUUGGUUGGCUAUGGAAAGCCAAAUGCCCGAUCAAGUUCAAGAUGUUUGGGUGGCUGCUUAUGGUCGAUCGUUUGAACACCAGGAACAUGCCGAAGAGGCGGCACUUUGCUGUAGCCGGGGGCAACUACACUUGCAUGCUCUGCCAAACCCCGCCAGAGGAAACCGUGGAACAUCUCUUCUUCGAGUGCCCUUUUGCCAAAUAAUGCUGGAGUAAGGUUGGUCUGACCUGGCCAGGAGGAACCAAUAGGCUAGCCAUCUUGCAUGCUGGGAGAGAGAGCUGGCGUCGGCCGCUUUUCAUGGAUAUCUUCCUGCUUGCUGCUUGGAGCCUGUGGAUGGAAAGAAACAACCAACAUUUCAGGGGGAUCCCGCGCUCGUUCAUGGCAUGGUUGGCUAGGUUCAAACUUCUGUUGGGUUUGGUGAUCCAUAGAUGUCCUGAGAAAGUUCAUCCUUUUCUGUCUGACUUCAUUGUAAAUUUGGACAGCUAGUUUUGCUUCUGCAACACUUACGACCGGGGGGCCUAAAACCCAUUGUAACACACUUGUAACUGUUAUGUUGUGAGUAAUACAAAGUCAGUGGGAGCCUCUCCCACUGUCGCUAAUUCCUCAAAAAAAAACAUCUUCCUUUCAUCGAAUGUUUUGUGGACUCUCGUCCAAAAAAAUGCCCUUUUGUUGCGCGCCGGUCCUCGGAUCUUGGCUAAUCUCCAUCCAAGCUUGGCAAAUCAACUUUGUCCUCAUCUUGUGUAUAUGAACCCGUGCGAAUGCUCUUCCUCUUCUUUUGUGCUUCCGCUCUUUGGGUGAGCUCGUCGAUGAACAAUGGCUCGUCACUAAUAUCAACGUCAUUGCCUUCUUUUUCAUCACCGUCACCUUCGACAUACAUGUCAUCGUCUUCAUGCCACGAGUCACCAUGGUCGUAGUCAGCACGGUCGUCAGCCUCUUCAUCGGGCACGUACUGGGCGCGGCCAUCCUGACUUUGGGUCUCCUCGGGGUCGUAGGCACGACCAUGCCCACCCUCGAAGAUCACGUCCUCCAUGUACUGGUUGUAGAAGGGGUCGUCAACCGUUGGCGUUGGUGUUGGCAUUCCGCCAAACAAGAUGCGAGGGGCCGGCAUGGUGCCCGUGAACGGUGCCCGUGCUUGCUUCCUUUGCAUCUCGACGGCCGGCCGGCCGCCGCUGUUGGACCCAGGCGUGACGUUGAGGUCGAUGAUGGCCGCGGGGCGCAGUGUGGACGGCGCGAACAAGCCGACGUCCGGCGACCCCGAGAAACGGGUCUGGCCGUCGUGCCUUGGCAGAGGAAAGUCGGGCGACAUGGGCGUGGUCCGCGACGUCGGUGACUGGCAGUGCGGAGGCCGGGCGACCGACGAGUUUGUGCUCGCCGGGCCGACGGCCCAUGCCAAGCAUGAGGAGGGUGUGCGCUUUGUUGAUGAUGUCCUCCUUCUCGUCGACCGCGGCCUUGUGCCACGCGGCCUCCAUCGCAUCGCGUUGGGCGGCGAACUUGGCCGCGGCGGCAUUGACCUUGACGACCGCUCUCCGUUCCCUCCUCUUCGCCGAUUCGGCGUCCAACUUGGCGAUCUCCUCCGGCGUGCACUCCGACCGCGGCUUCCUUGGCGCCUUGGCCGCCUUCUUCUUCACCUUUCCGGGUGGGUUGACGGCCAGGCCGCCGGAAUUCGGCGGAGUGUCGGCCAUGGACGGGGGAGGGAGGGGGUGGCGGGAGGGACGUGCGAGGGUUUGGUGGGAAUGGCGCCAAAUUGGCGGGCGGGGGGUUUUGCUUUGUGCCACCGACAGUCGGGCCAGGGGAGGACACGUGCGCGCGUCCCGUCCGUUCGCGCGCUGUCCGUUUCACCCCAAAACCGGCACAAACCGGGGAUGAGUCGAAAGCGGACACAAAAUUGACAAAAGUCCGUUUGCGCCCGUCUGCUGAGCCGUAUGGUUUGUCCGUUUUACCCCAAACAGACGGGACGGAUAGGAUAGGGUCGCGCGGUGAAGUUGGCCUCAGGGGCCUUGGCGGUAAGAAAGAGUCAGAUCUCAAUUUUUUUGUAAAGCAAGGUUAGAUCUUGAACAAAGUUUCGCAAAAAAAUCAAAACACGAAAUUUUGCUUCGGUGAACGUUGUCCGCGGACGCGCCCGGAUGCACCCAUAGGCCCCUAAAGGAAGGGAACAUUCUAUCUUCGUCAAGCUUCCAAAUUGCGAUACAACACCAUGGACAAGCUUGCAGCUCGAAGUUUGUUUGAACCAGAUUAGGAAAAUUCUAAUAACCAGAAAUAACCGUUGCCGUCCGAGCGAUUCACGGAACUGGCGCGCAACCUCCGUGCGAGCCGUUUGCCACUUGCAGCGGCCGAGGCAGCGAUUCCUGCGGAAUAUUCGCGGCCCCGGCGAAGCUGACCGGCGUCGAGCAGCGGACACCAGAAAGCCUCCACCAAGGCUCGCCACGGCGGCCACACCGGCGACACCCGGUUCCUCAGCCCCACAGGUGUCGGUUUGCAGGACACCUGGCGUCCUCCCAGUGGCGGAGCCCCGCUGCUCGACGCGGUUUUCCCCAGCACAUCCGAUCGGGCAUUUAAUGCCUGCCUGUGCAUCUGCCCGGUGUCCCACAUGACAGUCGCGCGGAGGGGGGAGGAGUGGGAGCGAAGCAAACCACUAAUCACAGCCCUAAACAACCGCGAGAGGAUGGAAAAGGGGCAAUAAUUAAUCGGGAGAGGAUAAACCAUGGGUCACGAAGUUGCGGGCUGCCCAGGGGCCGCCCGCGCUAUAAAGGAGCUGCUUGGCCCUCCAGUCCUCCUCCCCGCCUCCAUUUCGCCCACUCCGACCUUCGUCCACACACCUUCCACCAGCCACCGAAAAAGCCCCAAUCCCAGCAACCACAAACCACUCACGUGAGUUCGAGCGAGGUAAGAAUAGAUCCGAGCGAGUUCUUGCGUCGCCAAGGUAAAGUUCUUUGAAUCCCAAGCCCUCUUCCCCCCUCCCUUGUUCGUCUCCUUGUUCACUCGGCAGGCAGCGAGGUCUCCAGGACGUUUUAGAUCCAGGGGCUCCAGAUCUGUUCGUUUUUCUUCUCUUUUAGUUGUAGUAAUCGGCCAGGCGAGGUUCUUUUUCCACACCUCCUUGCUCGUUGUGUCUAGAUCUACCACAAACGCCAUCUCUUUUUGCCGUGGCUGUUGUUGAUUUUCUCUGCNNN